rnacentral:lncRNA from 1 species
UUUUUUUUUUGCUGAUAGAGGUCUCGAUCUCUUAUUCAUAUAUUAGCAUUAAUCAAUCUGGAAUUAGAUGGAGCUAUAUCACGAACUCAGAUUUGUACAAUGUCAAUUUCCAUUUAAUCGGAUGAUCUAACAACUCAAUCAAAAUUAGUUAUCAAUGUAAAUGAGGAUAUCUCAUUAUAAGCUCUGAGGAGUAUGAAUUGGAGGUCAAGAAAAACUGCUAAUGGAUAUACCUUUAUAUGUUUAGCUUUUAAUAGCUAGGCUUUAAUGGUUUCCAAAAACGUUACUCCAAGUGUAUCUUAAGCAAUAUGAAUCUAGAGUUAGUUAUUUAUUUUCCAAUCUCAAUACUUAGAGUAAAUAUGAUGUACACUCAUGUCAUAAAUAUAAAUUAGCAAUUUUGUACCGUUGACCAAAGGUUGCAGCAUAUCAACAAAUUUGUAAAUUUAUAUUUUUCACGCAUGAAUAUAGAAUUUCAAAAUUCAUGCGUGAAUAUGCGAAAAUUCAAAAUUCAAAAUAUGAAAUGGGAUCAUGUAUAAAAGAAUAAACAUUUGAAUUCACAAACAAAAUAUGCACACAAAAAUAAACACUAGCCCGUGCGAAUGCACGGUUGACGACUAGUUUUUUGCAGAUGGGUGGAAGAAAAUGUUGCACGAAAUCUUGCAAGCACCUAAAAAAGCUGAGGAUAUUUGAUGUCGCGAAGUUUUAGAUUUUGUUUUAAUUUACUCUUCAGGGGGGUGUAGGGACACCCAGGAGCUAACACGCCUUUCUCACGUUGCAAUGAUUUUGCAUAUAUACAGUAAGAGAGAAAAUUCUGUGUGAGGAUCUCAUGCUGCAAUGAUCGGACGACCCAGAUCUCAGAUUUAAUUAAGUGAGAUACCACGGCCGGGAAGGUAAGCCAAUGUAGGGGCAUACUCUGCUCACCGGAUCGAUGAUUAGGGUUUCUCCUGUGUUGGAAUUAACCACGUCGUUACAGUCCAGCUAGGACACAAAUCAGUCACCGUGUAGGAUUAGGAGAGUAUAGCUAGUCUCGCCGUGUUCGUCGUGUGUGCAUGUAUUAGUCACGUCAAGAAUCGAUCCACCUGCUUGCUCCUGUGUACGUGCCUAUCAACACAGUGGAAUCAACUAGCUUUGCUCGUGUCCUGCGUAUCCCGGCGAAAUCAAAGUCUACGUACGCGCAGUCUAGCUAGGUACACGGCCGGAAUGUACUCGGCCGAAUCGAUGACUGGCCCUCCGGCCAUGGCAUUGGCGGGUGCAGACUGGUCCUCUCUCCCGUGCGACCUCGUCCGCCGCAUCGCCGACUCCUUCCUCACCACAAACCACAUGGACUGCUAUGUGGACUUGCGCGCUGUGUGCCACAACUGGCGCUCCGCCACCGACGACCCGAGCGACGCCUCCGACCCUCGCUUCCGCCCGCACCGGUGGAUCAUCCUCGACGACGACGAGGCCUUGGAGAGCGACACGCGCCGCCUCUUGGUCAACACCGCCAGCGGCCGGUUCCUCCACAGGGAGCUGCCGCUGCUCCGCGACUACUAUGUCGUCGCCACCACUCUCAACGGCUUCUUCGUCUUGGCCGAGAAGAGCCCCCCUCAUGCCGCUCGCGUCUUCAACCCCCUCACCGGCGCCAUGAUCCGGUUCGCGGCGCCCGUGCCGCCCGACGGGGAGGUCGCCGCUGCCCUGAGGUUUGGCAUGGCUUUGCCCAUGCUCACCUUAAUCUGCGACUCGUCUCGCAAGCAUUACGUGGCCUUUUCUGAUUAUGAAUGUUUCACCAGCCGUGAGUACAAUGAUAGCAGUUACCACGCACCUUAUAAUUUCGCACGCAGGGCGAUCAGAGAUGGUUUCGACGGCGCCUUGCCGGGAUUAACGGGAUUAAGUGAAGUGGUCGACCACAUCGGUGAUUUGAUGAGGCUGCAUCAUGCUCAGCCCGCUAACUUUUUCUCCAAUCAUCCUCCUGAGACGGGACAUGCAGACGAUGGCCGGUGUUUCCUUGUGCAAUGUAGCGGACAGCUGCUCAUCGUGCUCAAGGUACAGCGAGUCGUUAGGCUUCUCAAGCUUGAGCCCACGAGUGACCAGCUUGUGUGUUUGAGGACCAUCGGCAACCAUAACCAUGCCAUCUUCAUCGGUCAUCAAAGGUGCCUGGCUGUCUGUGCUGAUAAGUUCCCAUCCGUUGAGGCAAACUGCGUCUAUUACACCGAACACGUGGGUUCGUUCGCUCACAUCUACAAGUACAGCCUCCGGGGCGACAAAAGAGAGAUGAUCUCUGCCAUUGAUUUCGUGAAGCAGGGCAAGCGGUUUGUCCCUGUCGGUGCCCGUCCUUUCACCAUCAUCCAGCUUCUCUUGAGCUACACCAUCAAUGCCCGGGAUUCUCAACUGGCUAUGGCUUACAACAAGUCACAAUCAGGCGCAUUGACUUGACUUGUUGGGGUGGUGGACUCUAAAUUAGAUUGCAGUCUUAAUUAGGAAUUGAUCUGAGCCCAAUGUUCCAUCUGCUAUGCUUGAUGCUCUCUUGUGUCGGUGUACACUCAUUCUUCCGUAGUAGAGCUCAGUUUGUGCGAAUUUCUAAAUUUUGCUAUGUCAAAUUUGCAAUGUCAUAUUCUAGGCAAGCAGCAAGUUUUAGAUUUUCCUACCAUUGGUCUGUGGGACUGCUGUACGCUCCAUCCACGCUUAGGCCAACUCCACCGCACGACCCCAAACGGACGUCCGUUUUGUCCGGUUUCUGUCCGUUUGGGUAGGGAUUUGGGGUCGUGUCCGGGCCUGUCCUGGGAUGCGGUGGCUGUGCGCCCAGCGCGCGGCCGCAUCCAUUUGCCCCAUCCUGUCCGUCAGGGCCAAAAAUGCCCAAAUUUGCAUCAAAACUAGUUUCCAAUCCAAAUAUUUGUCUGAAAAUUAAAAUAGUUUUACAACCCGAUUGAAAUUGUCUUUAAUAAAAUAGUUUUACAACCAAAUCGAAAUUGUCUUGACUGAACAUAAAUUGGACCAACACAUCUAUUGGUUGCCAAUGUGAUCCCAGACGUGCUCAACCAAGUCAUUUUGAAGAUUCAAAUGAGUGUGCCAAUCACGCAUCUCACGGUGGAAUUGGACAAACUGUUCAAAUGUGGCCGGGUCUUGGUGCAGGGGCUCAAUAUUUUCACCUUGAUAAUCAAAUCCUUGGUCGAAGAUACUCUCGUCACGCUCGUCCUCGACGAUCAUGUUGUGCAUGAUCACACAAGCAGUCAUCACCUCCCAAAGCUUCCUUUCAUUCCAUGACAGUGCAGGGUUUCGAAAGAAACCCCACCGAGAUUGAAGCACACCAAAAGCACGUUCCACAUCCUUUCUAACACUCUCUUGCAUUUGGGCAAAUCUCUUUCUCUUCUCACCUUGGGGUUUCGAGAUUGUCUUUACAAAAGUUGACCACUGAGGAUAUAUACCAUCACUAGUAGAAAAGGGGGCAAUGGUCCAGGCCAGGUCAGCCCAUUAGUCCCGGUUCAAUCCAGAACCGGGACCAAUGGGGGCAUUGGACCCGGUUCGUGAGCCCCGGGGGCCGGCCGGGCCACGUGGGCCAUUGGUCCCAGUUCGUCUGGACCUUUUGGUCCCGGUUGGUUGGACGAACCGGGACCAAUGGUCCUUGCUCCCGGCCCACCACUAUUGGUCCCGGUUGGAGGCAUGAACGGGACCAAAGGCCGCCCAUUAGUCCCGGUUCAUACCACCAACCGGGACUAAAGGGUUGGUCCUCGUUGCGGCCAGAGUUUAGUCCCACCUCGCCAACCGAAGGAGGCUCACACCGGUUUAUAAGCCCCUCCCUCCCUGCCUUGUUGAGCUCCUCUCAAAAUGAAUAGAUGCCCUUAAACAGGGAAUUUGACCUAAAUUCAUACUGAAUUUCUCUAAAGUUAGUAGAAAUUUAUUAUGAAUUUAGGUUGAAUUUUCUCUAUAAGCGCAUCUAUGCUCAUUUUUUUAGUAAAGUUAAUCACAACUAUUUUUUUCUUCUAUUUAUUUCUGAGUAGUUUUUUAUAUAGUUUUUUUCUUUUUUGCUAUAUUUCUUUUUUUCUAUUUAUUUCUGAGUGGUAAUAAGUCAUUAAAAAUAAGCAUCUAUGCUCAUUUUUUUAGUAAAGUUAAUCACAACUAUUUUUUCUUCUAUNNNNNNNNNNNNNNNNNNNNNNNNNNNNNNNNNNNNNNNNNNNNNNNNNNNNNNNNNNNNNNNNNNNNNNNNNNNNNNNNNNNNNNNNNNNNNNNNNNNNNNNNNNNNNNNNNNNNNNNNNNNNNNNNNNNNNNNNNNNNNNNNNNNNNNNNNNNNNNNNNNNNNNNNNNNNNNNNNNNNNNNNNNNNNNNNNNNNNNNNNNNNNNNNNNNNNNNNNNNNNNNNNNNNNNNNNNNNNNNNNNNNNNNNNNNNNNNNNNNNNNNNNNNNNNNNNNNNNNNNNNNNNNNNNNNNNNNNNNNNNNNNNNNNNNNNNNNNNNNNNNNNNNNNNNNNNNNNNNNNNNNNNNNNNNNNNNNNNNNNNNNNNNNNNNNNNNNNNNNNNNNNNNNNNNNNNNNNNNNNNNNNNNNNNNNNNNNNNNNNNNNNNNNNNNNNNNNNNNNNNNNNNNNNNNNNNNNNNNNNUUUUCUGCUAUAUUUUUAUUUAUUUAUUUAUUUUUGAGUGGUAAUAAGUCAUUAAAAAUAAGCAUCUAUGCUCAUUUUUUUUGUAAAGUUAAUCACAGCUAUUUUUUCUUCUAUUUAUUUUUGAGUAAUUUUUUAUAUAGUUUUUUUCUUUUCUGCUAUAUUUAUUUUUUUCUAUUUAUUUCUGAGUGGUAAUAAGUCAAUAAAAAUAAAAAAGAGGCGCAAUGCUUGUUAAUUUGCUUCAAGCCUUUCGAAAUAGUGUAAACUGCACUGCACAUAGCUCCGUGCAGUCUACCCUAUUCCUCAAGGCUUGAAGUGAACCAACGUGCAGGUGAGCAUUGAGCCUCUUCUUCAUCGUCUCUGCACUCAGGGCUUAUAAAUAGCUGCGAGUGCCUCUCGCUUGGCGAGGUGGGACUAAAAAAACAGCUGCAGAAAGAAUCAACUAAAAACAGUUGCAGAAAAUAAAUAAGUAAUUAGACGGGUCCAUUGGUACCGGUUGGUGGCUCCAACCGGGACCAAUGCCCCUCUUUAGUCCCGGUUGGUGGCACCAACCGGGACCAAUGCCCCUCUUUAGUCCAGGGUGGUGGCACCAACCGGGACCAAAGGUCUUUGUUUCCCGCCCUUUGGGCUGCUGAAAAGAGGCCUUUGGUCCCGAUUGGUGCCACCAACCGGGACUAAAGGGGGCAUUGGUCCCCGUUUGUGCCACGAACGGGGACCAAAGCCUUUGCUAUAUAAAUAGCACUUAGGAAAAUUUCAGAACCGCAUCCCCACUUCGAUCUCUCCUUCUCCUCUCUCGACGCCGCGCGUCAUCCCCUGCCGCCACCUCGCCGUUGCUGCCCCGCCCCGACGUCGCCGCCCCGGCCAGCGCCGCCCCGACGCCGUCGCCUCCCCGCGCCGCACCUCGCCGUGAGCAACUUUUUAUGAUUUUUGUUAGAUUUUUUUUAGAUUUUUUGUAGUUCAUAGAUUUUUUUGUUAGAUUAGAUAUAUAGUAAUUUAGAUAUGUAGUUCAUAGUAUGUUAAUUUAGAUUGUGUAAUUAAUUUGUUCAUAUUGUGUUAGAUUUUUUUUCUGUUAAUAGAUUUUUUGGUGAUAUUAUUGUUGAAUAUGCAUGUUUGGUGAUAUUAUUGUUAAUAGAUUUUUUUGGUGAUAUUUAGAUUGUGUAAUUAAUUUUGUUCAUAGAAUUUUAAUGACUUUUUUGUUCAUAGUAUUUAGAAAAAAGGAAAAAAUAAGAAGAGAAAGUGUUUAAUAUAAUUAGUUAGAAAAAUACUAGUUUAUUUUUAGUAAGUACUAUUUUAUUUUAUUUAUAGUAAGUGCUUCAUAUAUAGUUGAACUAGCUAGUUGAUUUAAUAAACUAAUUUAUUUUACCAUAUAUAGAAGUAGUUUGUAGUAAGUGCUACUUUAUUUAUUUAUAGUAAGUGCUACUUUAUUUAUUUAUAGUAAGUGCUACUUUGUUUUUAGUAAGUACUAGUUUAUUUAUUUAUAGUAAGUGCUUAGUAGUUGAACUAGAUAGUUGAUUUAAUUAAUAAAACUACUUUAUUUAACUAUAUAUAGAAGUAGUUCCCGCAUUGACGUCGGUGAUGCCUAUCCCGCAUCCUCGUCGUCGUUGACUCGGCGGUGGAGGCCUGCUUGAUCAGGGCCAUGUUCGGGACUGGGCUUCGCCGGGCUGGUAUUGGAAGGUGCUACCUUCCGAGGGACGUAGGUUGGUGAGGAGGCAGCCCGUUAUUGACCCGAUCCUUGUUUGGUGGCGGUCGCGUGGGCCAGUGACGGUGCUGAGACUUCCGGACACCGCGGAGGUGGUACGUCACCGUGUCAGCGAGGAGGACGAGCACGUCCAUCGCUAUAUGGUUGCAUUGGAGGGCAGGUUCGACAAUACCUGGCAGGUUCUUUAGGAAUCUCACUGGAGCUAUGAUCCUGUGAUGGUUCCUUAUCUUUGGGUGUCCACCGCCCGCGACAAUACCCGUCGGGUGCUACGGUUCUAGUUGUAUUAGUGAUGCUAUAUUAGUGAUAAUAUUCGAUGAUGUACGGACACCAAGAGAUGAUGUACUUUUGCUUAUAAUUAUUGAAUGCAUGCUAAUUUGAAUACUACUUUAUUUUAUGAUUUGGUUUUGCUUAUUUUAUGAUUUGGUUUUGCUUAUUGAAUGCUCAUAUUGGAUAAGUUCUCCUUCAUUCCCGUGUGCUAGACAAUUUGGUGUAAUAAUGCACUCCGGAAUGAAAGGAGGAGCUACGUACAUCACCGAUAGUCAACCCGUGAUAAAUAAUAAUGAUCUAGUUCAAUAUUUGAAUUAUGAACAUAGGCCGGAAAUGUCGUACUCGGACAACGAAAACCGCCCGGGGGAGACUGGUGCCACGACGACCGAGGUAUGUGCGACAGGUUCAUUGAGCUGGACGAAGAUCGGCGCUUCAGCAUUAAGCUCGAGGAGACCUUCGAUGUUCUACAGUACACAACGACGACAAUAGUUUUUUUCGUAAUUAAGCAUGACUUCAACUAUUUUAACGUAUAUUUUUCAUCUUUUCCAAUUCGACUAGCUUAUCCCAUGCUUUGCAAGACGCUAUGUCUUGGAGAGAAUGGGUUUUGAAGACCAUGAAAGUAUGGAAACCAAAAAAAUUAUCCUAAGUAUCCAUCAUGGUGUGGAUUUUCAAGUAAAGAUGUACAAUGCUCAGAGUGUAACCCAUUUUGGUUGCAAAAAUUGGGAAGCACUUUGCAAGAUAUAUGGUUUUGAUGAGGGUAUGCUUGUCACCAUGGAUCUUGGUGAUCCUAUAAUCGAGCAAGAGAGACCUUCGAUUUGCGUCCUUGUAGAUACACCUCCAAUUCUUCCCCCAUGUGAGCUUAACAUAGUUAUUAAGUAAUUUAUAUUGUUUAUUUAAAAAUAGUUGACAACUUAUUUCUAUUGACAGCUUAUUUUCAUUCUUCAAAGAAUGUGCGGAAGAUGGUAGACAGAACCUACUACACCGAAGGCUCCAAAUUAACUUAUCAGGAGAAAAAUCAUCUGGUCGCAUUUUGUACUGAUCUUGAGAAUUACAAUAUCUACAAUCAAACUCCUCAACAUUAUGGUCAAUACGUGCCACUAGUGCACUUGUUGAACUACGGUAACUACCAUGGAGAUACCCUGGUAAGAUUUUUUACUAUUACGACAUCUGUGCAUCUUUUUGCACACUUCUAAAACUAGUACAUCAUUGCUAACUACGAAGUUAUUACUAUGUUUUUCAACAGAUAAUCCCAAAUGAUUGUGUGCCUCAUCUCAUGUAUACGCACGGUAUCCUUCAUGUUUUGAACAUACAACCAGGUCUUCCUACGAAUCUCAACUGUCCAUACCGGGUUUCUAAAAGAAGUGGAGACAUGACAAUCAAAGAAUGGAAAAAAUGUAUGGACAGUCGUAAGGAGCUUCUUGGAAGCAAAAAGCAGCGAAGGGCAAGAAUUGGAGACAGGAUGAUCGCCAUUCUUCAUAAUGGAGAGUCAGGGUCUAUAUUGUUUUAUGCUAUUUUACCUUAAGGGUGUUUAGGUCCUACCUGAUACUGAUGAUCAUGUGCUAAGAACAAUUAUGUAGGGUUGGGUUCGAUGACUAUGAGGAUGAUGAUCGUAUGACUUAUUAUUAAUAACGAGAAGAAGUUGUAUGAUGAUGCAUGAUUAGUAGGACUUGUUAUUAUAUAUGAUGAUGUAUGAUGCGAGCAUGCAUGAGUUAUUAUAUCAGCGGGUGAAAUGAACAUAUAUAGCAGCAGCGUUGGUAAACCAAGGACAAAGAUAUAAGAGAGGACACUUCUCUCUAUUAGCUAGCUAAUAACAACCUAAAAAUAACCCCCAAAACCCCUAAAGCAGCCAUUUUUCUAAAAGGCCCCCGGUUGGUGUCACCAACCGGGACCAAAGGCCCCCUGACUGGGCUCGGCGCACAGGCCACAUGGAGGCACAUUGGUCCCGGUUCGUGUUUGAACCGGGACUAAUGGGUGGAGGUAUUAGGAACGACCCAUUAGUCCCGGUUCAUGAACCGGGACUAAAGGCCCUUACGAACCGGGACUAUUAGGUGUUUUUCUACUAGUGCAUCUGCUAGAUACUAUCCCUUGUUGUACUGGUGGCCGUUGAUCUCAAAGUUGACAGGUGGGGAGUGGCCUUCUGCAAGCCUCACGAAGACUAGAGAACGCUGCAGCACAUUGAUAUCAUUGUGAGAACCUGCCAUACCGAAGAAAGAAUGCCAUAUCCAAAGAUCUUGCGAUGCCACCGCUUCUAAUAUGACACUGCACCCGUUAACAUGCCCCUUGUACUGGCCCUGCCAAGCAAAUGGACAGUUCUUCCACUCCCAAUGCAUACAAUCUAUACUGCCAAGCAUGCCUGGAAAGCCUCUAGCUGCGUUGGUCGCCAACAACCUCUCUGUAUCAGCGGCAGUUGGCUGCCUCAAGUACUCUGGGCCAAACACCUCGAUCACAGCCGGGCAAAACUUGUACAUUGAUAUCAGACAUGUUGUCUCACUCAUACGCACAUACUCGUCCACCAGAUCGCCUGGAAUACCAUAUGCAAGCAUGCGGAUGGCCGCGGUGCAUUUCUGGUAAGAGGAGAAUCCAAGCUUGCCAAGGGCAUCCGUCUUGCACUCGAAGUAUGGGUCAUGAGCAACCACUCCCUCUCGGAUACGAUUGAACACAUGCCUUGCCAUACGAAAACGGCAACAAAAUUUAUCCGUCUUGAAGAGCGGGGUGUUGGCAAAGUAAUCAGCAUAGAGCAGGGCGUGCUGUUGCGGUUCAGGUUGGGAGCACGGCCAGGGAGUGACCCCCUGUACCGAGGAAGCUGUCGUUGAAUAUGGUCGUGAACGACCAGUGCAGCCACCACAAGAUCUUCAUCAUCCGACGACGAAUCGUUCGAUGAACAAAGGAAGUGAUGAAAGAAAAACUCGUCUCCACUGUCCAUACCUUUGAUGGCAAAAGGUCGAACACCUUGCGGUCGUGGUGGCGAAGAGGCUGUGAUGAUCACCUCGACGCAGCAGGGGUGGUUGCCGGCCGGCUACUGGCCGCUCUGGAGCUCUCGUCGGAAUCUGCCUCGGCCGUCGUGGUCUGUCGCCGGCAGUCGUGUCCCCUCCGCCACCGGCAAGGACGGCGACAGCCAAACCUCCCCCGAUAGACGACCAAAACUACGGUGAAAGUGCGGGCGUGGUGGCGGCCAUGUUGAUACGUGGUUUGGUAUGGACGGCGGGGGGCUGCGCGGUGAGGAGGCGGCCGAAGAAUAGGGGCGGCGCCAGCGGCGGGGCGGGCGGGGAGAGAGGGUGAAGCGUUGGGAGAGGAGGGACUGCUAGUGUCCCCGACAGGCGGGCCACGGGGAGGGACAAGGGCGUACGUCGUGGCCAUCCGCGCACGUCCGGUUCACCCCAAACCGAGCGCAAGUUUGGGCCGGGGAUGGGUCGAAAACGGACGGAAUCCGGACGUUUGUCCGUUUGAGGCCGCGCACUGGGCCGCCUCUUUUGUCCGUUUUACCCCAAACGGACGAGGGCGGACAGGAUAAGGUCGCGCGGUGGAAUUGGCCUUAGAACAAGGUUGCAAGUUUGUUUUAUCUAUGCUUCACCGGCCCCUUGUAAUACUUUCUUUGGAUUUCUGGGUGUUACCGCACAAUUGCUGUUGAGAACUGAAGAUGUGCUUCGCAGCAGCUCUACAUACAUAAAUUUCUGACACAAUAUGUAGAUGUUAUUUCGAGAUUCAGAUGUUCACGUAUUUAUGUCGGACAGGUGUUUCACUAUUACUCCCUCCAGUCCUUUUUAGUUUGCAUAUAAGUUUUGUCAAAGGUCAAAGUAUCUCUACUUUGAUCAAAUUUGUAGAAAAUAGUAUCAACAAUCACAAUGCCAAAACGAUAUUGUUAGAUUCUUUAUGAAAUAUAGUUUCAUAGUGUAUUAUAUAUUUUGUGUUAUAGAUGUUACACUAGUAGAAAAACACCUAAUAGUCCCGGUUCGUAAGGGCCUAUAGUCCCGGUUCAUGAACCGGGACUAAUGGGUCGUUACUAAUACCUCCACCCAUUAGUCCUAGUUCAAACACGAACCGGGACCAAUGUGCCUCCACGUCGCCCUAUGCGCCGAGCCCACUCAGGGGGGCUUUGGUCCCGGUUGGUGGCACCAACCGGGACCAAAAGUUCAUGUUUUUUUAGAAAAGUGGCUGCUUUAGGGGUUUUGGGGGUUAUUUUUUGGUUGUUAUUAGCUAGCUAAUAGAGAGAAGUGUCCUCUCUUAUAUCUUCGUCCUUGGUUUACCAACGCUGCUGCUAUAUAUGUUCAUUUCACCCGCUGAUAUAAUAACUCAUGCAUGCUCGCAUCAUACAUCAUCAUAUAUAAUAACAAGUCCUGCUAAUUAUGCAUUGUCGGUGCGAGGACGACACUUAUGGGAUCACGAGAAUCCCUACUACGGUUGCGGGGCGCGGGAUUGUGAGAAGGGCAGAUCGAACAGAUAGCACACUAGUUCUUUUAUCCAGGUUCUGGCCGCGAGGAUGCGUAAAACCCUACUCCUGCCUUGAUGGUUUGUUUAUCUGUGUUCUUCAGCUAGCAAUGGGGCGUGAGGAGCUCCAAAAAGCCGAAUCCCCCUCCUGGUCGCCUUGGGCCUCCUUUUAUAGGGAAAGGGGUUGUCACAGUGGCACACAGGAGGUGGAAAGGGCACAGUGAUACGAGUUUAUUCCUCGCAUUACAUGACAAGGCGCAUUUAAUACGUCGUGCUUAGGUGUCCCUGCUUUAUCGGGGACGAGGGAGAGCCCAGUCUUAUCCGUCGCCGACCUCUUUCGCGUCGGCACGCGCCCUGGCCAGCGGUGCCCAUGGUGCCAUGUAGGCAGGCAGGCAGCUGAGGUGGCGCAGCGGUGGGUCUCCAUGAAGAUCCGCUUGCCGCCACGCAGGUGCCUGCCCAACUGGUUGGGUCGGCGGCUGCAUGCGAACGGUGGUAGAGGUUGGAUUUGGCAUGGGCCUGAUGGUGGCCCUACGGGUGUCCUUGGCAAGGGCCUCGCCGUAGCCCCGGCAAGGGUCUUGCCGUGGCGCCUGUUGUCAUCCCCGGCAAGGCUCUUGCCAGGGGCCUUGUGGUCCUCCUUGGCUGGGAUCCCGCCAAGGGUCGUCAUCUUCUAUAGUGUGUAUCUGAUCUUGAAUGUCUUCACAAAGAUCUGCAUGCAACCACGGGGAUGUCUCCCGAAUCCUUGCCCCACGGGGGCAGUGGACUCAAGGGUGAUUCGCUCCGUAGGUGUGGGGCGAGCUGCCACAGCAAGGGUCUUGCCGGGUUUGCUAAAACCGCCCCCGGCAAGGAUCUUGCCGGGGGGUACGCUUCGUCCCCUUUGCUCUUUGUGGUCUUGGUCUUGGCGUCGUUCUGCUCCUUUCGGGCUUCGGCCUUACCAUGGCUCACCUCCCUUGCCUUGCUCGGUGCGGUGGCGUCCGUGGCUCGGACUGCCCGUGCACAGUAAUAGGGGUACAAAAAGUGUACCCCUCUUUUUGUACACCAACAGGAGCCCCCGGGCCUGGGCCAUACGUAAGCGUAAUCACGUCGUUGGGCUAGGCCCAAAAAAGGUGCGCGGGCAGGCGGGGUAGUUUUUACCGCGGUAAGUUUCUUCGUGCGUUGCGCUUCCCAUGGCUCCCGCGCGUGGCUCGGCGUGGGGAGGCGUGCGUGACGUGGGCGGCAUGCAUGGGGCUGAGCUCUGCGCGCAUGCGUCAUGUCGUAGUAAAAGGGGGCGGUUCGCGCCUUCCCCAUAAAUGGAGGGAGGCGUGGAGGCUCGACCCAUUCACUGAUCGGGGCCGUGGCGUGGUCUUCAAGGCGCCCACCCCCUAUGAUCACGGGGUGGGGAGAGGUCACCUCACCCGUCGCCUCGGUCCUGCAUGCCUGCCACGUGGUUCCCAUGCGCUCAGGGUGGUGAACGGUGGAGGCGGGGAACCGGGCCGUCGCGGGCCGGGGCAGCGAGUUGGUCCCAGUUCCCUGCGCCUUCAGCGUCUUGAUUGGCUGAGUGGGGUGGCCGAGCCCCCAUCCCGGCUCUUUAAAAAGAGCCGGGGGGAAGGAAAUGGCGUCCUGCACUCUUCCAUCUUCUCUUUCCUUCAGCUUCUGCUCCCCCCCUCCCUCCAUCUGCCAUGGAGAGAGGGAAUCCUGGCUCUUCAAUGGUGGCAGCGAGGGUCGCCGCUCGACAACGCGCCCUCCCUUCCCCUUUACACGCGGUGACAGAGCCAGCCGCGAGGGGAAGGGGAAGGGGGCGAGGCUGCGGGCGAGGCCGUGGGCGAGGCCGAGGUGCUCAGGGAACAGGAGAACGGGGCGGCGCGCCGGUCUCGCCUUCGCCAGUAGUUCCUCCCCCCAUGGAGGGCCACGUUGGGGAUGACCCUUACGAGUUCUUCGUCAGACUGCGCCGGUCGCCUCGCCGUCGUCUUCGUCUCCCGACUCCAUUUGCGAGCGAGAUGGAGCUGGAUCCGCCAGAGUCCUUGCGGUUGCACAUGAGGGGCUGUUGGAUCAGCGGUACGCGAGCUCGCGUCAACUUCCCAGCCCCUCACGUGAUGUAUCUUGGCCGAGGGUGGAAGACGUUCGCUCAUAUCCACCGCUUGACGGAGGGGCUCACCCUCCAUUUCAAGCUGAUGGAGGGCGGCCUCCUCUCUGUCAAGGUCUUUGGGUGCUUCGGGACUCGGGCAAGGUGCUGCGUGGAGAGCUCUUCUGAUAGCGAAGACUCCUCCUCGGGCGGGAGUGAUGAGGAGGACAGCCGCAGUGAUGACGAGGGUAGCGGGCGGCAGGAUGACGGGUCCGACUAGGUGCCGGGCGCCGCUCCGUGCGGCACCGAUGAUCCCAUCAUCCGUGUCGCCGGCUUCCUGAACUUCUCGGGGUCGUCUUCUUGGGCGGCUGGCGUUGGGAGGCUGCGGAAGAGGAAAAGGGCGGGCGGCAAGGCCGUCAAAUUGGAGUACGCGGGCACCGACGCCUUCGACGCGUGCUGACGUCCUGCCGCCUCGUCUUCGAGCUCUGCUUCCGGCGCCGUCAUCACCAUCCAGCCUUCGGACGGUCACCGAGAUGUUCUCUUGGUGCCUCCUGCCACCCGUAGCUCGCCUAGGCGCUCCCUUUUGCCCUUUUCGCCUCCUUGACCUGCCUCCUGAGGAGAGGGACAAGAAAGGGGUUACGGGCACCUUAUCUCUUUUUAGUUUGUAAGCCUUUAGGCUUUAGCUGAAUUUAAAACUUGUAAUCCCACCAUUCAUGUUUUUCAUUCCCUAUGGGCUGUACCUAAGUGGAAUGUUUUUAAUGAAAAAGGGAUGCUUGCCGGGUCAUUUGUUUGUGGGUAGAACCCACAACAAGGAGUAAAUCCUUGAUAUCCUCAAGAUAAACAUUUCCUUGCCCGGCAACAGGCCCUGCCGUCUUCCCACUUCGCUCGACCCUUCUCACGCUUUCGGCGGAGGCAGGGAUGAGGUGGGUUCAUGCUCCUCGUUUCAUCCUUUUGCCGCCGCGACUACGACUAAACCUGGCCCUAGGAACGAGCCCUAGGGCCUAGAGUUUUUAGGGGAGCACGGUAGCUUUGGGAAAAACGAGGUUUCACAUACCUCAGUCCAUGAGGGAAUGCAUGAUAAGCGAUGAAGAACUUAUCUGAAGUUGUAGCCCCCGGCAACUCUGGUUUGCCGUGGGUAAAUCUUUGUACUUGCAGCCCCCGGCAAUACUGGCUUGCCGGGGUCUGGAUGUCGGUCUGUCCCUCUUUUCUUUUUCGUCCUCAAGUGGUCCGGCAAGGAUAUCUGUGAGUCCUGCGAACCAAAGAAGACAAAAGAACAGCAAAGAGACGCACACUCGACCUCUAAGAUAGGGGUUAGUCGCCGCUUAAGCACUAUCAACCCUAACCAAGGACGAGACUUGACCUAGCAUGCAUGCUAUAACUUAGGGCGUCAGCGCUUCAUUUAUUUAUGCUCAGGGUCUGCGCCUGGCUUUGUACAAAGGGUUACAUGCAUCAUCGGCAAUGCUUGUACAAAAGGUGGCUUGCCGGGGGGCCCGGCAAGCCACGCCUCACGGGUAAAACUUGCGAAGAUGCUCAAUGUUCCAGGAGUUACUCACCGGAACAACAUCUUCGGCUCUCCAGACGGACUGUGCCGGGCCUGGUGACUCGUAUUACCCGAUAAGGGCCUUCCUACUUUGGCGUUAACUUGUUGGAAUUCUUGGCCGAUUGAAUGCGCCGAAGGACAAGGUCGCCUUCCUCAAGGCCCCGGGCAUGAACCUUGCGGCUAUGGUAGCGGCGCAAGGCUUGCUGGUAGCGUGUUGCUCUUACAGCCGCCCGAAGACGAUCUUCCUCAAGGAGCACUGCGUCAUCUUGCCGCAGUUGCUCUUUAGCAAGCUCGUCAUAAGCGAGCACUCGAGGUGACCCGUAUAUGAGUUCAGUGGGGAGAACUGCUUCCGCCCCAUAUACCAGGGCAAAAGGUGUCUGGCCGAUGGCUCGAUUUGGCGUUGUCCUGAUCGACCAAAGAACCGUCGGCAACUCAUCAAUCCAGUGCCUUCCAGUCUUGUGCAGCCUGUCAAAGGUCUUGGUCCUCAAGCCUCACAGUACUUCAGCAUUUUCCCUCUCAGCUUGACCAUUGCUUCGCGGGUGAGCAACGGAAGCAAAACAGACUUUGCUGCCGAGGUCUUGGGUAUAUUGCAUGAAGGUGCGGCUUGUGAACUGGGUGCCGUUGUCGGUGAUAACGCUGUUAGGUACGCCAAAAUGGCACACUAGUCCCUUGAAGAACUUGACGGCUGACUGAGCUGUGACCUUCCUCACUGCCUCCACCUCUGGCCACAUUGUGAACUUGUCGAUUGCAACGUACAAGUACUCAAAGCCCCCGACAGCGCAGGGGAAAGGGCCCAGUAUGUCGAGCCCCCAGACCGAGAAGGGCCAGGAGAGAGGAAUGGUUUGAAGGGCUUGGGCUCGCUGAUGGAGCUUCUUUGAAUGGAAUUGACACGCUUCACACCUGGUGACUAGUGUCGUCGCAUCCUGGAGGGCGGUGGGCCAGAAGAAGCCUUGCCGAAAUGCCUUGCCAGCAAGGGCCCUUGACCCAAUGUGGGAUCCACAUAUGCCUCCAUGUAUCUCCGCCAACAGCUCUAGUCCUUCCUCUUGAGGGAUACACUUCAAUUUCACACCAUUCGGCCUCUUUCUGUACAGGACGUCAUCGACGAACUGGUACAUGGUAGAGCGACGGGCUACUUUCUCCGCUUCUUCCUGCUCCUCAGGAAGUUCCCCUGUUUGGAAGAAUCAGACGGUAUGUUGUGCCCAUGCCGGAGCCUGGGGCUCGACGGCGAGGGCUAAAGGCAUUUCCUCCGCUAUAGGAGCGGCUGUCUCAACGGCAAGAGGUUAACGCUCCGCCGGAGCCAGCCGUCCCGUGGCAGGCUCAGUAUCCUCGGCAACAUCCUUGCCGGCGGCUUCGGGGAGCUCGGCAAGAAAGUACUUGUCGGGCCCUGAUUUCCUCCUCUUAUUCUGCUCUGUUGAUGGACCAACGGAUGGCUGAGUUAGCUGAAGCACAAAGGUACCUGGUUCGACAGGUAGUUGAGGGCAGUGCAUUUGGACAGGUAAUCGGCGAUAUCGUUCUCUGCUCGGGGAAUGUGUUCAGCCUGUAUACCGUCGAAAUGCUCUUCCAGCUUUCUCACUUCAUCGACGUAGGCCUUCAUCAACGGGCUCUGGUAAUCCUUGUUGACUUGCUUGACGACAAGCUGUGAGUCCCCCCUGACGAUGAGUUUCUUGAUUCCAAGGUCCGCCGCGAUCCUAAGACCGGCAAGCAGCCCUUCGUACUCUACCGUAUUGUUGGUUGACACCUCCCUGAGGAAGUGCAUCUGGAUCACGUACUUGAGGUGCUCUCCAGUGGGCGCGACAAGCAGUACGCCAGCCCCGGCACCUUGUAAGGAGAAAGCUCCAUCAAAGUACAUGAUCCAAUCACAACUUGCUUCCUUGCCGGGAAGAGCAGUCUCUUGGGCUUCUUCGUCAGGCGUUGCGGUCCAUUCUGCAAUGAACUCUGCUAGGACUCGACUCUGAAUUGUCGAGGUACUUUCAAACUUGAGGCCAAAGCUGGACAGCUCCAGUGCCCAUUCCACAAUUCUUCCCGUUGCAUCCGGAUUGUGCAAUAUCCGCUGCAGAGGGUAGCGAGUGACGAUAGUGAUCUCGUGCGCCUGGAAGUAGUGACGCAGCUUCCUCGAGGCCAUAAGAAGGCCGAAGAGCAGUUUCUGCACGCCGGAGUACCUCGAUCUAGCCCCCUGUAGGAGGAAACUAACAAAGUAGACCGGGUGCUGCAUCAUUUUCUUCUUCGGCGACACGUCAACUGGCUGUGUCGUCUCUGCAUUGGUGGUGUCGGGCUCUGCCACUGCCAUAUCCUCGUCGUUAUCCUCUCACUGUGCAACCAGCGCGGCGCUGACCACCUAGUCUGUUGCCGCCAGGUAUAGCAGCAACGACUCAUGUGGCCUAGGCGCAACUAGUAUUGGCGCGGAGGAGAGGUACUUCUUCAAACCUUGCAAUGCGGCUUCGGCUUCUGGCGUCCACUCCAUCGGGCCCGCCUUUUUCAGGAUCUUGAAAAAGGGAAGGGCGCGCUCGGCAGACUUGGAAAUGAACCUGCCCAUGGCGGCGACGCAACCAGCAAGCCGACGCACAUCCUUGAUUUGCCUGGGUGCUUCAAUCUGCUCUAUAGCUUUGAUUUUGUCCGGAUUGGCCUCUAUCCCACGUUGUGACACCAAGAACCCGAGAAGCUUGCCGAACGGGACGCCAAAGACGCACUUCUCAGGGUUCAGCUUAAGAUUGAUCUUGCGCAGGUUUGCAAAUGUUUCUCGCAAAUCUGGUAUGAGGGUUGCCCUGUCCUUGGUUUUGACCACUAUGUCAUCCAUAUAAGCCUCCAUAUUUCUAUGGAGCUGGGGUUCAAAAUCAAUCUAGAACGCCCUUGCAAACGUCGAACCAGCACUCCUCAACCCGAAAGGCAUCCGCAUGAAACAAUACGUACCACAUGGGGUGAUGAAUGUUGUUUUCUCUUUGUCUUCUCUUGUCAUGAAGAUCUAGUGGUAGCCGGAGUAGGCGUCGAGGAAUGACAGCAGGUCACACCCAAACGUGGAGCCAACAAGCUGGUCGAUGCACGGCAACGGGAAGGGGUAUUUAGGGCAAGCCUUAUUGAUAUCUGUGUAAUCAAUACACAUCCUCCACUUCCCAUUUGCCUUGCGCACCACGACCGGAUUGGCCAACCACGUCGGAUGGAGCACUGCUCUUACCAAACCCGCUGCUUCCAGUUUCCGGAUCUCUUCAGUAAUGAACUCUUGUCAUUCCAAAGCUUGCUUUCUGACCUUCUGCUUGAUGGGCCGCGCAUGAGGGCAGACAGCAAGGUGGUGCUCAAUCACCUCCCCGGGAACACCAGGGAUGUCGGAAGCUUGCCAUGCAAACACAUCGACAUUCGCCCACAAGAAGGUGACGAGCGCGUCUUCCUAUUUGUCGUCAAGGGUGGAGCUUAUGGUAAAAGCUCCUCUCAUGCCGUCCUCAUUAACAGAGACCUUCUUGGUUCCCGGCGGCACGGCCCUGGGCUUCUUGUUCCCGCUGGUGGAGCUCUCCGGCACGUCCUCGAUGGCAGCGCUACACUCCGAAGAGGUGCGCUUGCCGGAGUGGGUGUCCGAGGUCUCACCGGUCUUCUUCUUCUUCUUCCCUCCCGGGGUCCCAGCGGCAGGAGCAAGUGCCCUAGCGGCGGCAGCUGCUGCAACUGCUUGCUGGUAUAGUUGUCAGCGCAAACCAGCGCAUCUUUCUUGUCGGAGGGGAUGGUGAUGAUCGUCAUAGGUCCUGGCAUCUUCAGGGUGUUGUAGGCGUAGUGUGACGCCGCCAUGAACUUGGCCAGCGCUGGGCGGCCAAGGAUCCCGUUGUAGGGCAAGGGGAUCCUGGCAACAUCGAACAUGAUCCUCUCCGUCCUAAAGUUCAGGUCGCUUCCAAAAGUCACGGGCAGCGUGACCUUUCCCUUGGGUUGGCUUCUUCCCGAGUUGACCCCCUGAAACGUGCCCGUCUCUUCGAGGUCUCCAUCAGGAAUCUGCAGUUUCUCGAUCAUGGCAGGCCAGAUCAAGUUCAGACCGGCCCCGCCAUCGACUAGCAUCUUCGUCACCUUGAGGUUACGUAUUGUUGGUGAAACCAACAAUGGCAAGCACCUGACCGCAGUAGUGCGAUCAGGGUGGUCCUCAGUGUUGAAAACGAUAGGUGUGCUGGACCACUUCAGCGGCCUUUGGGCAUCAAACGAUGGCUCUGGCGGUGUAAUCUCUCGCGCCCACUGUUUAAGCCGGCGGUGAGAAGUGUGCAACGAGGCGCCGCCGUCGAUGCACAUGGCCUCUGUAGCUUUCUGAAACUCUUGGUCGCCCGAUUCGUCAUCCUUUUCGUGAUCGUCGUCUUCUGGCUUUCUGUCACGGCCCCGGGAGGGCCUCUCCUGUUGCUUAUCCUUGCUGCGACGGCCCGCCUGGCCGUCAUGCUUCUUGCCGGACCCCUCAGCAUCGUUUGGGCCCUUCUCCUUGUCCCGCCUCUCAUACUCAGCCCUCUGCUUCUCAGCGAGGAGCUCAACCUGUCGGCAGUCCUGGAGAGCAUGGCCCUUGGUGCGAUGGAUCUUGCAGUAUCGCUUGUCGGAGUUUCCCGGCUUCUCGGCAGCCACCAAGGCCUGGCAGGCGACACACCCGGCAACCUCCUUGCUGGGGUCAUCUGCCUUGGUUUUCUUGGUGGAGCCGGCGUCUUCGGAUCCCUCGACGGCAAGCACGGCUUUUCCUUUGCGCUUCCCGUUGCGGCGCCGGCCAUUCUUCGCUGGGGCGGCAGUAUCCUCAUCUGAGGAGUCGGUUUCCACGCCGGCAUCUUCGCCGGGGUACUUCCUUCCCUCUUUGGCUCGGGCACAUUUGUCAGCAAGAACAUAGAGUUCUGCUACAUCUCUCACCUUGUUCAUUGCCAGCUCUUCGCGCAUCUUGCGGUUACGCACGUUCUGGUGGAACACGCUGAUGAUGGCGGCAGGGUGAACAUCAUGGAUAUUGUACUGUACCCGGCUGAACCUCUGAAUAUACUUGCGGAGACUCUCGCCUCCCUUCUGGGGAAUGACGUGCAGGUCGCUUGCUUGGCCAUGGGCUUGGUGGCCUCCAGUAAAGGCGCCCACGAACUCAUGGCACAAAUCCGACCAGGAGGAAAUAGAGUCUACCGGCAAGUGCAUCAACCAUGACAUGGCAUUGGGUUUAAGCGCCAACGGAAAGUAAUUCGCAAGCACCUUAUCGUCGCGGGCUCCGGCAGCUUGCAUCGCGAUGGUGUAGACGCUGAGGAACUCGGACGGAUGGGUCUUGCCACUGUACUUUUCGCCCACGUCGGGUUUGAAGGUGCGGUGAGUGGGCCACUGGAACUGCCGCAGCUCACAGGUAAAAGCCGGACAGCCUACCUCGUAAGGUAGGCCUCCAGGGCUCCCCGGUGCUGGGUGGCUCACAGCAGGCCCUGCUCGCCUGUCUGAUUGGUGGCGCGCUCCGCGCCGGCGCUCGAUAGUGGUUCGAGCGUCUUCAUGUUCUCGUUCCCGAAGAACUUGGCGCUGGUCACAGUGGGCCCGCGGGUCGGACGAUGCUACGGAGAUCUCGUCGCCCGUGACAUCGCGAUGGGAUGGCGUCCGUGCUACCGGGCGAGGAGGAGGCGAGUGCACCGUGGUCGCGGCGCCGCCGGCUCCCCUACCACUGGUGCGUGGGACUCCGUCGGAGCGUCGACCCGGGGGCUCCACCGGACUCGGUUCAUCUUUGUUCGCCAUCGCAACAAGGCUUCGGAUAGUGGCUCUCCAUUCAUCGAGUUUCCCCGUGGUGGGAGGGAAAUCGAGGAGCAACUGCGCGCGCGCCAGGGCUUCUGCUGGCGUUGGUGGCAGCGAAACCUGCACGGAUCGCGACGCGCUUCGACUUCUGACCAUGUCAGAAGGAGUUCUAUCACGACCCCGCGGUCGCAUGCCAUCUUCACCAGCGCCUCAGCGGGCGGUCAGGUCUUCUAAAUCCCGGGAGCAGCGCUCGGGGCUCUUUCCGCGGCGAUGCCCGGGGACCUCGGCGUGAUUAUGCCGUUCGUCGCGCGCCGCUUGAGAGGAGCGCGCCGUUGGUGUCAGCAUGGGAGUCUUGGAAGCCCUCGCGUCGCCUUCGGGCGGGGUGUCAGCGAUCCUAGAAGGCCCUGCGCCACCCGCGGAGGGCCUGGCUCCGUCUUUGGAUUUGGCGGCGUGCGGCCCGUUACCAGGCGCACGAACAUUGCCACCUCCCAAACUUCGGCUGCUGGGGCGGUGUUGGUGUUCGUGAGUGGUGCCUCGGGUCCUUUCUACGACCGGUCCGCUGCUCGCCCGCGUUGGGACGGAAUGUCCGGCUCCCGACAGGCCAACCGCCACCAUCAUCUUCUUCUUGGGCGCCAUGACGAUGAAGAAGCGUCGAACUAAAUGCUAGAGCCGAUUCUCACAACCGCCGGCCCCUACCUGGCGCGCCAAAGAUGUCGGUGCGAGGACGACACCUAUGGGAUCACGAGAAUCCCUACUACGGUUGUGGGGCGCGGGAUUGUGAGAAGGGCGGAUCGAACAGAUAGCACACGGGUUCUUUAUCCAGGUUCAGGCCGCGAGGAUGCGUAAAACCCUACUCCUGCCUUGAUGGUUUGUUUAUCUGUGUUCUUCAGCUAGCAAUGGGGUGUGAGGAGCUCCAAAAAGCCGAAUCCCCCUCCUGGUCGCCUUGGGCCUCCUUUUAUAGGGAAAGGGGUUGCCACAGUGGCACACAGGAGGUGGAAAGGGCACAGUGAUACGAGUUUAUCACUCGCAUUACAUGACAAGGCGCAUUUAAUGCAUCGUGCUUAGGUAUCCCUGCUUUAUCGGGGACGGGGGAGAGCCCAGUCUUGUCCGUCGCCGAUCCCUUUCGCGUCGACACGCGCCCUGUCCAGCGGUGCCCAUGGUGCCAUGUAGGCAGGCAGGCAGCUGAGGUGGCGCAGCGGUGGGUCUCCAUGAAGAUCCGCUUGCCGCCACGCAGGUGCCUGCCCAACUGGUUGGGUCGGCGGCUACAUGCGAACGGUGGUAGAGGUUGGAUUUGGCGUGGGCCUGAUGGUGGCCCUACGGGUGUCCUUGGCAAGGGCCUCGCCGUACCCCCGGCAAGGGUCUUGUUGUGGUGCCUGCUGUCAUCCCCGGCAAGGCUCUUGCCGGGGGCCUUGUGGUCCUCCUUGGCUGGGAUCCCGCCAAGGGUCGUCAUCUUCUAUAGUGUGUAUCUGAUCUUGAAUGUCUUCACAAAGAUCUGCAUACCACCACGGGGAUGUCUCCCAAAUCCUUGCCCCACGGGGGCAGUGGACUCAAGGGUGAUUCGCUCCGUAGGUGUGAGGCGAGCUGCCACGGCAAGGGUCUUGCCGGGUUUGCUAAAACUGCCCCCCGGCAAGGAUCUUGCCGGGGGGUCCGCUUCGUCCCCUUUGCUCUUUGUGGUCUUGGUCUUGGCGUUGUUCUGCUCCUUUCGGGCUUCGGCCUUAUCUUGGCUCACCUCCCUUGCCUUGCUCGGUGCGGUGGCAUCCGUGGCUCGGACUGCCCGUGCACAGUUAUAGGGGUACAAAAAGUGUACCCCUCUUUUUGUACACCGACAUGCAUCAUCAUACAACUUCUACUCGUUAUUAAUAAUAAGUCAUACGAUCAUCAUCCUCAUAGUCAUCGAACCCAACCCUACAUAAAUGUUCUUAGCACAUGAUCAUCAGUAUCAGGUAGGACAUGACCUAAACACCCUUAAGGUAAAAUAGCAUAAAACAAUAUAGACCCUGACUCUCCAUUAUGAAGAAUGGCGAUCAUCCUGUCUCCAAUUCUUGCCCUUCGCUGAUUGUUGCUUCCAAGAAGCUCCUUACGACUGUCCAUACAUUUUUUCCAGUCUUUGAUUGUCAUGUCUCCACUUCUUUUAGAAACCCGGUAUGGACAGUUCAGAUUCGUAGGAAGACCUAGUUGUAUGUUCGAAACAUGAAGGCUACCGUGUGUAUACAUCAGAUGAGGCACACAAGCAUUCGGGAUUAUCUGUUGAAAAACAUAGUAAUAACUUCGUAGUUAGCAAUGAUGUACUAGUUUUAGAAGUGUGCAAAAAGAUGCACGGAUGUCGUAAUAGUAAAAAAUCUUAUCAGGGUAUCUCCAUGGUAGUUACCGUAGUUCAACACGUGCACUAGUGGCACGUAUUGACCAUAAUGUUGAGGAGUUUGAUUGUAGAUAUUGUAAUUCUCAAGAUCAGUACAAAAUGCGACCAGAUGAUUUUUCUCCUGAUAAGUUAAUUCGGAGCCUUCGGUGUAGUAGGUUCUGUCUACCAUCUUCCGCACAUUCUUUGAAGAAUGAAAAUAAGCUGUCAAUAAAAAUAACUUGUCAGCUAUUUUGAAAUAAACAAUAUAAAUUACUUAAUAACUAUGUUAAGCUCACAUGGGGGAAGAAUUGGAGGUGUAUCCACAAGGAUGAAAAUCAAAGGUCUCUCUUGUGCGAUUGUAGGAUCACCAAGAUCCAUGGUGAUAAGCAUACCCUCAUCAAAACCAUACAUCUUGCAAAGUGCUUCCCAGUUUUUGCAACCAAAAUGGGUUACACUCUGAGCAUUGUACAGCUUUACUUUAAAAUCCACACCAUGAUGGGUAUUUAGGAUAAUUUUUUUGGUUUCCAUACUUUCAUGGUCUUCAAAACCCAUCCUCUCUAAGACAUAGCAUCUUGCAAAGCAUGGUAUAAGCUAGUCGAAUUGGAUAAGAUGAAAAAUACACGUUAAAAUAGUUGAAGUCGUGCUUAAUUAUGAAAAAAACUAUUGUCGUCGUUGCGUACUGUAUGAACAUCGAAGGUCUCCUCGAGCUUAAUGCUGAAGCGCCGAUCUUCGUCCAGCUCAAUGAACAUGUCGCACAUACCUCGGUCGUCGUGGCACCAGUUGCACUCCCCCGGGCAGUUUUCAUCAUCCGAGUACGACAUUUCCGGCCUAAGUUCAUAAUUCAAAUAUUAAAUAUAUGUACUAAAAAACCUAAAUUAGAUCAUUAUUAUUAAUCACAGGUUGACUAUCGGUGAUGGUAUGUAGCUCCUCCUUUCAUUCCCGAGUGCAUUAUUACAACAAAUUGUCUAGCACACGGGAAUGAAGGAGAAGCUACCCCCACGACGGCGUGGAUGAUGGGGGGGGGCUCCUAGAUUUCUGCAUGGAGUGCUCUUCAAUUUUAGCAUUCAAAGUAGGAGUACUUUUCCAAUAUGAGCAUUUAAUAAGCAAAACCAAAUCGUAAAAUAAAGUAGUAUUCAAAUUAGCAUGCAUUCAAUUAUAACCAGAAGUACAUCAUCUCUUGUGUCCGUACAUCGUUGAAUACUCCUCGAAUACUAUCAUACAUAUAGCAUCGCUAAUUAAUACAGCUAGAACCGUAGCGCCCGACGGGUAUCGUCGCGGGCGGUGGACACCCAAAGAUAAGGAACGAUCACAGGAUCAUAGCUCCAGUGAGAUCCCUGAAGAACCUGCCAGGUAUUGCCGAACUUGCCCUCCAACGCAACCAUGUAGCGACGGGCGUGCUCGUCCUCCUCGCUGACACAGUGACGUACCACCUCCGCGGUGUCCGGAAGCCUCGGCACUGUCACUGGCCCAUGCGACCGCCACCAAACAAGGAUCGGGUCAACAAUGGGCUGCCUCCUCACCAACCUACGUCCCCCAGAAGGUAGCACCUCCCAAUACCAGCCCGGCGGAGCCCAGUCCCGAACAUGGCCCUGAUCAAGCAUGCCUCCACCGCCGAGUCGACGACGGCGAGGAUGCGGGAUAGGCAUCGCCGACGUCGAUGCGGGAACUACGUACUUCUAUAUAUAGUUAAAUAAAGUAGUUUUAUUAAUUAAAUCAACUAUCUAGUUCAACUACUAAGCACUUACUAUAAAUAAAUAAAGUAGCACUUACUAUAAAUAAAUAAAGUAGCACUUACUAUAAAUAAAUAAAGUAGCACUUACUACAAACUACUUCUAUAUAUAGUUAAAUAAAGUAGUUUUAUUAAUUAAAUCAACUAUCUAGUUCAACUACUAAGCACUUACUAUAAAUAAAUAAAGUAGUACUUACUAAAAACAAAGUAGCACUUACUAUAUAGUACUUACUAAAAAUAAACUAGUAUUUUUCUAACUAACUACUCCCUCCGUCCCGAAAUACUUGUCGGAGAAAUGGCUACAAUUAGGUGUAUCUAUAACUAAAAUAUGUCAAGAUUCAUUCACUUGUCUGACAAGUAUUUCCGGACAGAGGGAGUAAUAUUUUUCUAACUAAUUAUAUUACCAAAAAAAUCUAAAUAAAAUAGUAAUUAUAUUUUUCUAACUAGCUAGUUCAAUUAUAGUACUUACUAACACAAUCUAAAUAUCACCAAAAAAAUCUAUUAACAAUAAUAUCACCAAACAUACUAUGGACACAUUAAUAGAAAAAAAAAUCUAUUAACAGAAAAAAAUCUAACACAAUAUGAACAAAUUAAUUACACCAAAAAAAUCUAUUAACAGAAAAAAAAAUCUAACACAAUAUGAACAAAUUAAUUACNNNNNNNNNNNNNNNNNNNNNNNNNNNNNNNNNNNNNNNNNNNNNNNNNNNNNNNNNNNNNNNNNNNNNNNNNNNNNNNNNNNNNNNNNNNNNNNNNNNNNNNNNNNNNNNNNNNNNNNNNNNNNNNNNNNNNNNNNNNNNNNNNNNNNNNNNNNNNNNNNNNNNNNNNNNNNNNNNNNNCCAACCGGGACCAAUGGUCGUGUGCUCGCACGGUGCGGCACGAAAGUUUAGUCCCUCCUCGCUAGCUGAGUGGGGCGCGCAGUGGUUUAUAAGCCCCACUGCCGCACCCCUCUCGAGCUCCUCUCCACUGCAGGCUUACGGGCCUACUUAGUACUGCUUUGCCUGAUGGGCCUACUGGGACACCUGCGGGCCUGAAUCCUGGCCCAUGGUGGGUUUCUAGUCGUAUUCAGGCCGUGGGGGCCCAGUAGGAGGCACUUUUUUUCUUUACUUAUUGUUGCUAUUUUUAUUUUUUUCCCAGAUUUUUUGUUUUGUUUUCUGCAUUAUUUGUUUUCUUUUGUUUUUUGCUUUAUUUUUUAAUUCUUUUUUUUAGUUUUAGAAAAAUUAUAAACUUUCUGUUAGUGCCAUUAGUUCUCAAAUUUGAAAACACUUUUUUUAUUUUUUUUGUUUUGUUUCGUGCUUUAUUUAUUUUAUUUUGUUUCUACUUACAACAAAAUACUUAUUGUUGCUAUUUUUAUUUUUUUCCCAGAUUUUUUGUUUUGUUUUCUGCAUUAUUUUUUAUGUUUAUUUGCUUUAUUUUUUAAUUCUUUUUGCUUUUAGUUUUAGAAAAAUUAUAAACUUUCUGUUAGUGCGAUUAGUUUUUAAAUUUGAAUACACUUUUUUGUUUUAUUUUUGCUUUAUUUAUUUUAUUUUGUUUCUACUUACAACAAAAUACUUAUUGUUGCUGUUUUAUUUUUUUCCAGUUUUUUUGUUUUGUUUUCUGCAUUAUUUAUUUUCUUUUGUUUUCUGCAUUAAAGCAUUUCAAAUGAACUCUGAAAAAGUUGAAAGUUGAAAGUUGGCAUGGUAUCACGAGGGCCGAACCAUAAGACAUUAAAGCAUUAUGUGCCGGGACUAAAGAGGGGCAUUGGUCCUGUUUGGAGCCACCAACCGGUACCAAUGAACCCGUCAAAUUACUUAUUUAUUUUCUGCAGCUGUUUUUUAGUUGAUUCUUUCUACAGCUGUUUUUUAGUCCCACCUCGCCAAGCGAGAGGCACUCGCAGCUGUUUAUAAGCCCUAAGUGCAGAGAUGAUGAAGAAGAGGCUCAAUGCUUACCUGCACGUUGGUUCGCUUCAAGCCUUGAGGAAUAGGGUAGACUGCACGGAGCUAUGUGCAGUGCAGUUUACACUAUUCCGAAAGGCUUGAAGCGAAUUAACUAGCAUUGCGCCUCUUUUUUAUUUUUAAUAACUUAUUACCACACAUAAAUAAAUAGAAAAAAUAAAUAUAGCAGAAAAGAAAAAAAACUAUAUAAAAAACUACUCGGAAAUAAAUAGAAGAAAAAAUAGUUGUGAUUAACUUUACUAAAAUCUUUUUUAUUUUUAAUGACUUAUUACAACUCAGAAAUAAAUAGAAAAAAAUAAAUAUAGCAGAAAAAAACUAUAUAAAAAACUACUCAGAAAUAAAUAGAAGAAAAAAUAGUUGUGAUUAACUUUACUAAAAAAAUGAGCAUAGAUGCGCUUAUAGAGAAAAUUCAACCUAAAUUCAUAAUAAAUUUGUACUAACUUCAAAGAAAUUCAGUAUGAAUUUAGGUCAAAAUUUUUGUAUAAGGGCAUCUAUUUUCAUUUUGAGAGGAGCUCAACAAGGCAGAAAGGGAGGGACUUAUAAAUCGGUGUGAGCCCCCUUCGGUUGGCGAGGUGGGACUAAACUCUGACCGCAACGAGGACCAACACUUUAGUCCCGGUUGGUGGUAUGAACCGGGACUAAUGGGCGUCCUUUGGUCCUGAUUCAUGCCUCCAACCGGGACCAAUGAUGGUGGGCCAGGAGCAAGGCACAUUGGUCCCGGUUCGUCCCACCAACCAGGACCAAAAGGUCCAGACGAACCAGGACCAAUGGCCCACGUGGCCCGGCCGGCCCCCGGGGCUCAUGAAUCGGGUCCAAUGCCCCCAUUGGUCCCGGUUCUGCAUUGAACCGGGACUAAUGGGCUGACCCGGCCUGGACCAAUGCCCCCUUUUCUACUAGUGUUAAUAUAUUUUAAUAUAAAUUUGGUCAAACUUUACAAAGUUUGAUUUGACGCAAAUCUAAUACAUGAAGUAAAAAAGACCGAAGGGAGUACAUACGCUGCAUGACGUUCCAAGGAUACACAUGUUGAUUAGAUUAGAUCAUACCGUGUCUUUUUAGAAUGAAAAUCAUAAUUGAUCAGCCAGAUUGCACCUUAUAAACUUGUCCUUGUAAUGGAAGGCAGCAGUAGGCAGGGAGUUCAGAACUUUUUUUGUUUAGCGUGUACUGUGUGCAGGCUAGGGUUUAGCAGAAGAACCUUUUUUGUUUAGCAUCGUGCUUAACUUCUUCGAUGAUGUACUCUGUAGCAGAACAACCCUAGCUAGCGCCGCCGAGUCGUCUCCUGUGAGGCGACUUGGGGGCAACCCUAGCGCCGCCGCCGAGCUACCUUCCCUCUCUCCCUCCCCUCCGCCGCUGCCAGAGGGGCUCCCAGCGCUCCCGCGCGGCCCCGAUGAAGGUGGCGGCGGGGGAUCUGGCACCUCCUCCCUGGGUGGAGGGCUACGGCUCCCGGGGCGGCGGCCCCGGCAGGUGGCGCGUGACGUGGCCUGGGCGGCGGGCGGCGCCGGCAGGUGCUGGUGGGCGGCCUCCACGGCUGCGCGGUAGCGUGGUGGUCGUGGACGUGGUGCUGCGGUGGCACCUCGCUGGCCGCCGGUCGACCUUGGAGAAGCUUCGGUGCCACCCGAUCUGCUUUGUUCCGUGCCAGCGCCGGUCCCCGGCGGCUGCGGUCGCCGUUUCCUGGUGAUUGCUGGUCGGAUCUGGCGUUUGGGAGAGGAUCCGGGGGAAACCCCUGGCCGGUGCGGCGGCCCCCCAAAGUCGACGCCUUUGGCGCCGAUCCCUCUUUUGGAGGCUUUGGGGUGGUUCCUCUCCCUUUCGCCUGCCCCCUGAGCUCCGGCGAAAGUCGGCACUCCCCUAAUUUGGGCGUCGAUGACACCUCGGUGGCGUGCUCCUUCUUGAAGGCGGCGACCGGGAUUUGCUCUUGGGGGUGAAGCGGCUGGUGGCUUGGCUCUGAAGCAUGACGGCCUGGUCUUCCUGCUUCUUCUUGCUUGGCUUGGCCCGGUGCUUAGUGAUGCCUUCUUCGGUCUUCUCCAAUAGUGUGCGCCUUCGUUCGACAGCUCACAUCCCGUGCUCCUUGCUGCCACUGUCGGCUUGGUGCUCGUCUGGUUGGUCCUCUGUGGUCCGCUGGUCAGCUCCGUCUGCUUCUCCUAUGGCAGCUGGACACCUUGAGUUGGGCUUUGUGGUAGCCACUCUGCCGUUCGCCGGUGCGGCACCCAUCGAGCCUGGGUGAAAGGGUAGCGUCCCUUUGCGACGGUGGAGACAGCUCAAGUGUUGCCCAUGUUUGGCUUGUGGAUGCAGUCAGGGCUCGAUACUUGCUCGGUGUGGCCCUCCUUCCGUGUUCUUAGUUGGCUAGUUGGUGUAGACGUAGUGCUGGCCGUCGGCAUCAGUGUUUCUGUUGUUGCCUUUGUGAUGUUCUACCUAGUGCCUUGUAUCUUCCUUUCUGCUUUGCUUUGCAUUUCAUCUGCUUUGCUUUGCAUUUCAUCUGCUCGUAGUGUCUUUGUAACCCUGGCUGGUUGAUGGCUUUGUUAAUUCAAAGUCGGGUUAGGUUCGAGCUCUUCUCGGGCUCGGCCGACGCCUUUUCUCUAAAAAAACAACCCUAGCUAGCAUGUACACAGUACACGCUAAACAAAAAAGGUUGUUUAUAGUAGAGUAAAAAAUGUGUCGAACAAAGUAAAAACGUUCAUUUUCCUGUGCAGUAAAAGUAGAGCACCUGCCCGGCAAAAAUUAUGUUGAGAACUGAAUCUACAAAAACCAGGUAACAACAGCAGCAUAUUGUGUCCGAUAAUUGUAUCUUGUCAUCACUAAAAUAACAUCAGUACCAGGUAACUAGGUAAGACCAUACAAUGAUCUCCAACAGAUACAGUAGUAACAGGACAUCUGUUUUCACUAGUGAGCAUACUGUAGUAGCAAGAGACACUCCCAACAGCCAGAAUGUUCACCAAAGUAAGCUCUUCAGCUAACAUUUAGGCCAAUAAUUGUAACUCGGUGCAUCAUUCCUUGUGGUGGAUAUGUUGGACUGCUAUCAAAAGGGUGGUGGUGGUGAGCCGCCUGGGCCUGGGGGUCCAAACAACGGGCCACAGCAAUCUUGGAGCAGGCAGCAACAACAAAGGAGGUAGAAGCUGCACAAGAAGUAUUCUUCAUGAGUUUUCAGAGAAUAAAAGCUAUCUGUUUCAAACAGAAAAAAAAUUUAAAAGGAAGAAAGCUAAACGACUAAUGUAUGCUCCGCAACUAUAUAUUGCAAUUUGAUUUAGUUGACCCCUAAACCACUAACCAUCAAACUGAAUGAAUUGCUUUCUGUUUUCUUUUCGAGAUGUUAACUUGGUAAUAAAUUGAUAAUUUGCUGGCAAAAAUGCAUAGUUUAAAUUUCUGUUCGUAGCUGAGGUUUCAACUUACCAGGAUGCGAAAAAGCCACCAAACCAAGGCCCCCAAGAACCAGGGCCAGAGCCACCCCAACCUGGUCCUCCAGGCUCAUGAGGAUCCAUUCCACCAACACAGAAACAACUGGUUAAUACAGACUAAAGCUUCACAUCAAGAACUCAACCACGACACAAUAUAAUAGUUGGUGCAGAAGUUGGAGGUGAAUAUUUAUAGAUGUAGGGUGAGAAUAAGUAGCUGUGAGCACCUGCUGUUCCAACGUUCACCUGUGAGUCUUGACUCUCACCCAGUAGUUCCAACGAUCACCUGUCGGGUCUAUGUUCCAACACCUAUUCUGAACCCUCUGCCUACUCUUGUCUUGCAUAAAGAGUACAAGUUUGAGUUCUUAUUCUUAAAUGCAAUCAGGGUGUUCAACUGCACCUGCACUAUUAUGUUCAUUGUACAAAAAACAAGAUAUGACCUGCACCAGUCAAACACUAGUCCGACAAAAAUACAUGAACAUCUGAAUCUAGAAACAGCAGCUACAAAUUGUGUCAGGAACUUAUAUAUGCAAAGUACAUCUUAAGUUCUUAGCAUCAACAGUGAGCCGCAAAGCACGUCCUCAUGAGACAGUGGAGCUUACAUUCUCUUAUUAUCUCAGAUUGCUUGCAUUUAAACACCCUCUGACAUGAAACAAUAUUAUGCUUCUGUUUCUGUAGGUUGAAAAGAUGAUACUCCCUCCGAUCCUAAUUAAAUGACUCAGCCUCUAUACAAUGUCCAUUUUACAUUGUAUAGAGGCUGCGUCAAUUAAUUUGGAUCAGAGGGAGUACUAAAGCUGAGGGAAGAGAGCAGGCUGAAAAUGGGUUUUAGCCUUAAACUUACAAGGAAGAAGCAGAACAAACUAAAACUGUCUUCCUCCAGACCAUAACCCCUGCAUGUUACAUCCCCCUCGUGUCUUGCCAAUUACCAUGAGGGUCAUUCACUGCAGUUUCAUAAGAUAUAAUGAUCUUUCAUGUUAAGUCUUGAACAUAAAAAAUUAGGCGGCAAUUCCAUAUUUAUGUUGUGUUAGAUUUCCAUAUUUAUCUUGCGUUCCAGAUCUAUCUCGUCGUUAAAAAUCUGCUGCUCUUGGCACCAUAUGUUUUUGAUCUACAGACCAUUGGUCGACUUAUCUGAAAAAUACAUUGAUUACUACAUUGUUCAGAUGGUUUUGAUUUUUGAACACAGCCAGGUUAUUACCAGUACCAGUAGCUUACCUGUAUAGAACAGUACAUUGUACAGAACCGUCCAAAGUGCUUGCUGCACCUGUAGACUAAUCAAUUAACCUUGGAAUGGUUUCUUCCCCUCAGUGAAGUUUUUACAGCAUGUUAGUUUGUAUCUAAUUUGGUUGGUAUCAAGCUAUGAAUUUGUAUCUAAUUUCGAAUGCUGGCUUGUGAAAGUCACCAACAAGGUACAAAGUAGAGUAAAGCCCUGAUAAUUGCAUUCAGCCACUGAAAUAACAUCAGUGUCAGGUAACUAGUUAAGCCUGCUGCAUACAAUUAUCUCCAAGAGAUAUAUAACUAGGUGAAGAAUGUAUAGGUGUACUGUGAGAACUAGUAGAUGUGCACUCACCUUCCAUUCCAUUAAUCACCUGCAACUCUUACCCACUGGUCAGUGUUCCAACUACUACACUGCAAUGGAUGCAUCAAGAAAAAUGAAUUGUGACAGAACUUUUCAUUGAGCAGUUGACUAUGAGGCAGCCAUUUAAUUUAACUACUAGUACUCUAAGGUCUUCUAAAAAUAUCAGAUGUAGCUUGCGACUCAACAAAGAAUCUGCCUAGGUUCAUCGUCAGCUUCAACAAAGGGUAGAAACGAGAAACACCCUAAAUAUUGACUAUUAAGAAGACAACUAGAUAAAAAAUGGUAAUGCCAAAUUUUCAAUCCAAGAAAUAGGGUGCUAAGAACUAAGAACACCGCUAGCAAAGUAACAGCUGGCAAAUACUCCAAAAGCAGAUCAACAUUACUUCACUUCAGCCGAGAGGAAGACAAGCAAUUAACAUUCAGAGCUUACAAUCAUAACUUACAAAAAAGAAGAGGCCAGCUGCCUCAUAGUUGGACCCCCGACCCCCGCGUCCCUCCUCGAGGCGACACGGGGGGAAUCCAGAUCCCAGCCACCGGCCGACCUCCUUUCCUCCCCUCCCCCUCGCCGCCGCCAAGGGCUACUGCCGGGCAAAGCUCGGGCACGGCCGGCGGCGGCGGGGCCUCUCCUCGGCGUGGCUCCCCGCCCUCUGACCAUGGCGCGGUGCUCUGUCGGCGGCGGUGCUUGGUGGCGUGGUGCUGCGAGGGCGCGGCGGCGGCAUGGUGUGUUGGUUGUGGGGGUGAUGGAGCUCCGUCCGGUGGUGUUGCCUGCGGCUGCGGCGGCCGGAGGUCUCGGUUCCGUCCUGAUCCCCUUCUCCGGAUCUGGAUCUGGCCGGUCGAGAUCCGAGCGUGGCUGCCGGCGGGCGUGGUGACGCCGGGCCUCCACGGCUGCUAGGCACGGUGGUCAUGCUGGCAGUUGCGUUGGGGCCCCGGUGUGGUGGUGGCGACGCGGUGGCGACCCGUGCACACGAUGCUUGAUGGAGGUUCCUUCAGCGGAUCCGGGUGAAAACCUAGUUCUCGGCUUGAUGCCAAGACCGGCGUUGGCGGCACUCUUUUGUGUCAUUACCUUCUUGAAGGCAUCGCCGUGGAGAAGCUCCAGACCUCUAUCCGCUACCUCCGGGGGAAACCCCAGAUCAGUAGAUCAGAUGACGGCGACGCGUUGGUGUCGUUUCCUCCUUGGGGGCGUCAUUCUUGGAGGCGUACACGGGUUCGAGGGACCAGUGGGCGGCUUUUCUGGUGGAGCGGUGCUUCAUCCUGCACAUUGGUGACGGCGGAUCUCGACGGCGUGGUGCAGUGGAGACUCGGCGCCCGAUGCGCGGUGCUGGACUCGCGCAGGAGGGGGUUGCUGUCUGACGUCAUGGUGGCGUCGAUGGCAGAGUGGCCUGACAAGGUAGAAACCUCAAUAUCUGCUCUGAAGACAGACCAGUGAAAGAUGGCGGCGACGACACAUGUGAGUGCGUCAGACCAGUUUAUGCCCGAGACUAGGUAUGUGGCUCGGCUGGGGCUUAUGGCUUUUGAUGAUAGGCUUAGGUGAGUGGACUGGGUAUUUGGCCCAGCUAGCGCCCCUUCAUCAUAUGGAUAGAAAUAGUGGCAUAUGAUGCCAAGAUGGCGGAUUCAGGCAUAUUGUUGUAAUACUUUGUAAGGUCCUCGAGAAUAAUCAAUAAAAUGGCCGCAUGCAUCUCCCAGAUGCAGAGGCCGGGGGUCAUCCUCCUUUUCUAAAAAAAAAAAGCUGCCUCAUAGUUGAUCCAAUUCAUAGAUAUUGCAACUCAUAAAAAAACGACAGCUAGCCUGUUGAGAAGCACCAUCUCACUCAACAGCCAUCAGAAGAAAGGGGAAGCGUUCACAACAUAACCUUCUAGAGCCGGAAAAAAUGCAUGCUGAACAAGACUUUGUUUGAGCCGACAUUCAUAAAUAUGGAGGCCCAUGUGACAACUAUAGAAACUGUCAAUCAAUUUGCCAUCAGUGCCGAUGUGAAGCACCCACCCACCAAAAUUGACCAGCAAGACCACGCCACCAUCCCCCGAAACAACAUCCACAUCCCAAAGGUUAACAUCCCAAUAGUCAUCACAACCUUCAAACUGUCCCCUGAUUUCUUCAACAGGCAAUCUGAUUCGGUACUUUGAGUCCCAAGACUCGCUUUCAUAGUUCUGCAGCACCCAUAUACUAAAAGUGUUCUUGUAAUCGUCAUUGCAAUAGAUGCCAAGCGUGUCAUCCAUCUCAAAGAUAUAUGACUUGGUGGGCACAAUUGGAGCAUGCAUCUGCCGGAACGACUCAGCUACCGUGUCAAGUAUUAUUACAGGUUUGCCUUCACUCUGCAAUUGUUCGCUUUCACUCAGAUGAUAAUAUGGAUACCAAUGCAGGUUAUCACGCAGCUCAAUAGGUAAGCUGAAGACCUUUGACUCUAUGUCCGGCCACCCAAUGUACCUCGGUGGCUGUUCGGAGCCUAAUGGAAAGACAUAGCAGCCAAUUUGCUCUUCAGGCGAUUCCAUGUUGCUCCGCCGUCGCAGUAACAGGCGGUACUCGCUGGUGGGUCGGUGACUCGGUGGAGGUACAUCCCGAAGGCAGUGAAGUCCCACGAUGGCCCAGGCCUUCAGACAGAAGUCCUGGUCAAGGCUGGCGACGGUAUGGAGCUGGGCGUUAGCGGCGGUCCGGUGGUCGAAGGCGAGGAUGUCGUGGUGGUGGACGCCGAGGACUAACUGGUCGCCGUCCACAAUAGGGAAGGCGGGCUGGCGGGCGUGGUGGGCGAGGAGGAAGCGGCGAGUGGAGGUGACGCGGCGCCAGGCGCGGCGGACGGUGCGGCAGCGGAGGAGGGAUUUGGGGUCGAGGCGGACGAGGAUCUCUCAGAUGACGACAUCGUCUAGGAGGCCCGGGAGGAGAGGCGUCGCUUCUCCUGCCACGGCCACCUCCGCCAUGGUCGCCGGCUGGGAGCUCGUCCUCGAGUAGUGCGGGUGGCGGCGGAGGGGAGGGGGGUAGAAAUGGGCACGACCCAGGUUGUGUGAGGAGGAGAGAACUCUGGGACCGGGCUGGGCUUAGCCCAGAAGCAGAUCACUCUGAACUUCUCUGUUUUGACCGUGAGAUCACUUGUGAACGAAGGAGUUUCUCAAACAAACAAAAACUUGUGAACCAAGGAGAUCACCGAGUACAACAUUUCUUUUCUUCUUUGCACCGAAAAAAGGAUUUUUCCUAGAGAUUGCAAAAAAAAGGUUUUCUCUUUGAAAAUAUAUUACACAACUGUUUGAAAGUACAGAGUAAGGUGUUCAAAACGUUCAAACGACACCAAUCAGAUAAUGUUACACGAGCCAGAGAUUGGUCAAUAGAGACGUCGCGUGCCAUCACCCGAUUGCUACGAGUUUUUCCCCCAAAACCUACUCCCCUCUUGCAGCGACGGAGGAAGUUAGGGUUUGACGCGGAACUCGGUGACGCCCGCGGAUCAGGCUGCAAGUGGACACGGGCCGUCCACGGCGCCCGCGUAAAAACCCACUUAAUUUGUGCUCGUGGACGCCCGCAUAAUCUGUCUUAGAAAGUGGGCUAAGUGGGCUGACCCACGUUUUCCACAUAUGACCCACUUAAUUCCACGUUCCUGUCUUCCUCGUUCCCCUCUUCUUACGAUGCUACUAGGAUAGGGCACGCCGCCGCCGCCGCUGCUGCCGCCGCUUCCCCAUGGCCGGCUUAGCGUUGUCGUCCACCUUCCCAAUGGCCGAUCUAGCGACGCCGUCCACCUACCCCAUAGAAGCCGCAACGCCCACAUCCAUCAUCUCCAUGGACGCCGCAGCGCCGCCUUCCACCUCCAUCCUAGCUGCACCAGCGCCGCCGUCCACCUUUCCCACAACUGCACCAGGGCCACGGUCCACCUCCCCCACGGCUGUACCAGCGCCGCCUUCCAACUCCCCCACUGCCGGACCAGAGCAACCAUUCACCUUCUCCAUUUCCGCCCCAGCGGCGCCGCCGUCAGCCACCAUGGCUGUCACCAGCGAUGCUCGGAAGAAGCGACCUCCCUGCAAGAAUUAGAAGAUUGUUGCUGUCCAAGAAGAACCGGCCAAGGUAGUUAUCUGGUUAUCCCCUUGAGAUCUGGCUUUGUGGGUACUUGCCGCACCAUCCCCAAAGUGCUAGAGGCGCUGCUCCUACGAAUGCUUUGCUUCCUUCUAGCUGGCCUUGGAGCCCUCGCUUCUUUAAUCUCCAGCAAGAAAUUGAGCAAGCCUGGAAGGUGGUUAGCACUAGUACAUGGGCACAUGGCUACCUUACUUCAGUAUUAAAUUUUCUAGUAUAGAUUUGAUCCAUCCAUCAAUGAUUUAGUUGAGGGUACAAGUUCAGGUUAGAGAAGCCUGCUGCAUAUCAAAUUAAGGCAUAGAGCCUUUUAUAAUCUGAUGUAUGUUUUAUUCUACAAAUCCAAGUACUAGAUCACGUGAUGUUGCCAAGAAACUAGUGUCAGUAUUAUUUUCUCUACUUGUAUAUAGUACCUUUGCAUUUGUUCUUAGGACUGCAGGUUGUUUUGAAUUUUGCCCAUACCGUAUACCUGUGACCACCUACUUAAAAUAACAGGGAAAGUAUAUAUAGAGGCUAAAUAGCCUAGAAAUUUCACCAAGUAUUUUUCCUUCUAUUGGAGCAAUUCCCUGCCAUUCUUGAUAUGUUCAAAUACUGUAAAACAGGUAAGUUCAGAUAGACUUAACUGAAAAUCUGAUAUGCAAGCCACAAAAGAAAGAUGUACCUUUGGAUGUGCCUGAAGCACGCAGGAAUACCUCCGGUUAAAAGGUUAUCUGAGAGGUCUAUAUCAGUUAGCUGAGCUAACUGACACAAACCACCUUGAUCUUCUUUGUUGGUGGACACCCUGAAAGAAGAACAAUCACAAUUUCAUAUCCAUAUGCAAUGUCCAUUGAUGCCCACACAGAAGAAGCAUAUAUGUUAAGGACUUCUUUUUUGAUAUAAAUAUGGUGUUUGUUCUACUUUUAUUUGACAUAUCCAGACAUUUAACCUUCUGUCAGAUUGCGCCGCCAUCCAUCAUCUCCGUGGACGCCGCAGCGCCACCUUCCACCUCCAACGUCGCCGCACCAACGCCGUCGUCCACUUCCCCCACAGCUGCACCAGCACCGCCAUCCAACUCCUCCACGGCCAGACCAGCGCAGCUGUCCAACUCCACCACGGCCGGACCGGCGCAUCCCUCCAACUCCCCUACGGUCGGACCAGUGCAGUUGUCCAUAUCCUCCAUGCCAGCCCCAAUGCCGUCGUCAACCUCCACCAUGGCCCUCACCGGCGAGGCUCGCAAGAAGCGACCUGGGCAUGAACUCCCAAGGUAUGGCUCCAAGAAGAAGAAGAAGAUAGCUGAUGUCCAUGAAGCACCAAUAGUUGAAGCCGUCCCUGCUUCUGAAUCUGACAAGACCAAGUGCCUCAGUGGCUUUGUCAAGAGGAAGUUGAAGAAGCAACAGCCUAAGAAGGAAGACUCUAAUGGGGAUGCUCCUAAUGCUGAGAAAGAGCAGGAGGCUCCCAUUGAACAAGAGAAAAUUGUACUUUCCUACGCUUUCCUCACUUUCAGUUGUUUUCAAGCUUUUUACUGAUGUGUUAAUUUGGAGCAGGAGAUGACCCUUGAAGAUUAUGAGAAGGUGCAAGAAAAGAAGAAGUCUCUGGAGGCUUCUAAACCAGAGGAGAGGAGGGAUGCUGCUGUAGAUUUUGAGGGUCUCCAGCUCUUGGAGAAAAAUCUGAUUGAGGAUGAUGCUAAAUUGAAGGCGGAAAAUGUUCGCAAAGCAAAGGAGGCUGCUUCAAAGGAAGCUAAACCUUGCAAGGUACAAACUAUAGUCUACCAACAAUAUUAGUAGUUAAUAUUUUCUCUGAUAUAAAUCUGGUGUUUGUUCUAUUUUUAUUUGACAUAUCCAGUCAUUUAACCUGCUCUGAUUCUGACCUAUUAUUGUUUACAUUGUUCUAGAGAGCUAGUCCACGAGUUUAUUCUCCAAAGAUUGUGGCGAGCUCCCCGAGGGGUCAAUAUCUUAGCAAGAUCAGUUGCAUUGAAGAGGGUGUCAUCGACGGUGAGGCACGCUUCCGCAAAAAGAGCAAAGUUAGCAGAUCAACUAGAGACACCUGAAUCACAGCGGACGCCGCUACAGAACACCCCUUCGCUUCAAAAUCUAUCUCCUGCAGCGAGAAGACCUAGUUCCCAUGGUAAGAUUUGCUUCCGGAUAUUCCUAUGGUCGACUUUGUAGAGUAACACGAGAUUCCUCUAUGUUUAAACCUUUAAGGUGUUCUUUUCUCAUGCAUGCAGGGUCAAAGCGUAGAUGCAGCACGCUAACAUCUCUCAUUUGGGAGGAGGCCAACCAAUCUAUGAUGGUCGAAUGCUUGUGGAAGGCCAGUGUAAUCAUUGUGAACAAAUUUUUCCGGCCACACGAGACAGUGGGACCAGCCACUUACGUCGGCACCUGAAGGUAUGCCCAAUAAAAAUUGCUAUGAAUGAAAUGAUUGACAAGUUGAGUCCUCCUGAGGUGGUAGAUCCUAAUUAGAAAUUUGAUGCUAAAGUCUCACAGUUUGAAUUAGUCAAGUUGAUUGUUGUGAAUGAAUUGCCGUUCUCUCGCGCGGAGUACAAACCAUUUCGGGACUUUGCUGCUUCCUUACAUCGAUGGUUCAAAGUGCCCUCGAGAACAACCGUCAAAAAUGAUUGCAUGGGAAAUUUUAAGAGAAACAGACUAAAAGUGCAACAAUAUUUUGAGAAGUCUACUAGUAGAGUAUCUUUGACAGCAGAUAUGUGGACGUCAAACCAAAAAUUGGGUUAUCUUUGCAUCACCUGCCACUUGAUUGAUUCAGAUUGGCAAAUUAAAAAAAUUGUCAUAAGAUUCUUCAUGAUGCAGACACCUCACAAUGCUAUGAACAUGUAUGGUGUGAUACUAAAGACUAUUCAAGAUUUUAAUUUAGAGGAUAAGCUCUUUGGUUUCACGUUAGACAACGCACCGGUGAAUACCCCGAUGAUAAACCACUUAAGAGAGAAUUUGGUUAAAAAAGGUUGUCUUCUCUUGAAAGGAAAAUUAUUUCAUUGUCAAUGUGCUCCUCACAUCUUCAACUUGAUGGUUCAAGAUGCUCUUCUCGCAAUGAAAUAUGUGGUCAACAACAUUCGAGAAUCUGUCCAAUUCGUAAAGAGUUUGCAAUCAAGAGGCCAACAAUUUCAAGAGAUAAUCAAUCAAGUGGGGUGUUGUUUUGUUGGGCAGCCUUCUGUAGAUGUACAAACUCGUUGGAAUUCCACAUAUUUGAUGCUUGAGUCAGCUAUACCAUUUAGAAGUGCAUUUGAUGCCUUAGGGCAGCAAGACAAGGAGUACGAGUUUUGUCCAACACCUAUUGAAUGGAAAAUGGCUGAAUCUGCAUGCAAAUUGCUAAAAGGAUUUUACACAUCAACCAAACUUCUCUCUGGAUCUAAGUAUCCGACUAGCCAUCUCUACUUCCCCCAGCUAUGUAAGAUUAAGAAGAUCUUGAAGAGAGAGUCAUCAAGUAAGAACACCAUCAUUGUGCAUAUGGUGCAGCAAAUGGAAAUAAAGUUAGAGAAGUAUUGGAAGGAGUCCUACAAGUCGAUUUGUGUUCCGGUUGUAUUUGAUCCAAGGUUUAAGUUUGAUCUACUUGAAUAUAUGUUAAAAGACUUUGGAAGUGAAAUUGAAGCCAAUAAAUGGAUGCUUAAAUUAAAGAAAGCAAUCCAAAAGCUUUUCGAUCAGUACUCUCUAGAGAUUCAUGUUCAUCACCAACAAGAAGAUUGUGGGAGUCCUGGUGCCGAGGAGGAUGAAGAAAACGAUGAUCCACUUGCAGAGUGGGAUCAUUAUAUCAGUUGCAAAAAAGGACAAGCAAAUAAUGAGAUGGAUCAGUAUUUGAAAGAGGAGUUGUAUCCACGGAAGAAAGAGUUGGACAUAUUAGAAUGGUGGAAAAUCAACUCUCCCAAUUAUCCGGUACUCUCUACGAUUGCUCGCGACAUAUUGGCUAUUUCGGCAUCCACAGUGCCUUCCGAGUCUGCUUUUAGUUCUGGAGGACGCAUUGCCAGCGACUAUAGGAGCAGUCUUUCUUGCUCCACCGUCGAAGCUUUGAUUUGCCUACAAGACUGGCUGAGAACUAAUGGUUAGUAAGGUUUUAUUUUAUUGUUCACAAAAAUUGAUAACCACAAUUAAUCUAAUAAUUUAUGUGUUUUAUGUUUUGUGUUUUGUGUUUUGCAGAUCCAGAAAAAUACAAAGGUGUAUCAUUGGAGACAGAUGAAGAAGAUCAAGGUAUAUGCGAUGCCCCCAUGAUAAUCACUAUUUUUAUUUAUCAACUAGCUGUUGGCUGCAGUGCUUGCCUUGAAUCAUUUAAGCUACUGUGCAGAAGCUGAAUGUUCUGAAGAAAAGUCCUAAGUUUUCUACUUUGCUACUUGUUUAUCUUCCAAUGUUUCUUGUAAAGUCCUAAGUUAUCCUGUAAAAUGGAUUCUUAGGAUGCAAAAUUGCAAAUGGACUGACGAACAUAUUUUUGACAGGAAAUAUGGGUUGCUAGUUCGCUACUUGAAGAAAGAAUGGCAGGUUGAUGGUGAUGGAAGAUCUUGAAGAGCUCAAAAAAUUCAUCUUGUUGUAGCCUCUAGUCUUAUUGCAAUUGAUUUUGUCUUCAGUCUUCCUGAAAUAAAGGAUGGCAGGUUGUAUUACUGCAAUUCAUCUUGCAUUCAUAUUAUGUACUUGUUGUAUGCUGACAGGUUGUAAUCUUAAUACACGGAGACUAAAUAGUAUGAACUUGCUGUAUCCUGACAUGUACUCUUUGUAUUUUCAAUUCUCGAGUUCAGAUUAUGUGGGUAUGUGGCAACCCGCAUAGUCCCAAUUAUUUUAUGUGGACAUCCCACUUAAUUCACUAGUAGAAAGCUAACUAAAACCUAAGUAAAUUAAUCGAGGAACCCUAGCAGAGAGAGAGAGGAGGGGGUUUACAGAGGGUGCAGGGGCGAGGAGGCAGGCCCAACGACGGCCGAGGUUGGGAGGGGAGGAAGCAGAGGAGGGAGGCGAGGGCCGACGGGUCGGGGGCGAGCGCCUGGGUCGGGGGCGAGCGCCGACGUCGGGGUCGGGGGCAAGGGCCGGGNNNNNNNNNNNNNNNNNNNNNNNNNNNNNNNNNNNNNNNNNNNNNNNNNNNNNNNNNNNNNNNNNNNNNNNNNNNNNNNNNNNNNNNNNNNNNNNNNNNNNNNNNNNNNNNNNNNNNNNNNNNNNNNNNNNNNNNNNNNNNNNNNNNNNNNNNNNNNNNNNNNNNNNNNNNNNNNNNNNNNNNNNNNNNNNNNNNNNNNNNNNNNNNNNNNNNNNNNNNNNNNNNNNNNNNNNNNNNNNNNNNNNNNNNNNNNNNNNNNNNNNNNNNNNNNNNNNNNNNNNNNNNNNNNNNNNNNNNNNNNNNNNNNNNNNNNNNNNNNNNNNNNNNNNNNNNNNNNNNNNNNNNNNNNNNNNNNNNNNNNNNNNNNNNNNNNNNNNNNNNNNNNNNNNNNNNNNNNNNNNNNNNNNNNNNNNNNNNNNNNNNNNNNNNNNNNNNNNNNNNNNNNNNNNNNNNNNNNNNNNNNNNNNNNAGCGCCGGGGUCUGGGUCGGGGGCGAGGGCCGGGUAGGGGGCGAGCGCCGGGGUCGGGGGCGAGCAUCGGCGCCGGGGUCGGGGGCGAGCGACGGGGGAAGAGAGAGUGGGGAGUCCGUGUCGUUCUCUCCGCCGCCAUGUCCGGCCCCUUCUCCUCCGCCAUGUCCGGCCCCUUCUCCGCCGCCAUGUCCGGCCUAUUCCCCGCCACCAUUAUCGAUCAUCUCUUCGUCUUGCCCCGUGUCAUCAUUGCCUGCCCCAUCUGCAUCCUCAACAUCGUCAUCCUCAUCUUCAGUUAUCCACCGAGUAUAGCCAUCCAUGAAACCAGUCAUGAGCAGGUGCGCUUCGACACGACCAUUGUCAUAGGGGUCGAGCCAAACUAUUCCUUUGCAUUUUUGACACGGACAUAAAACCUCUCUCAGGUUAUUUUCUUUCAUGUCCUGCACCGCCAACCGCAACCACCUGUCCACCAUCGUUCCACUGACCAUCAUGAACGUCUGCACGGUAAUAAUAAAACAAAUUUAUUAUAAAAAUGCGUGCAUGCAUCAAAGUCAUACAAAAAUUCGGCAUGACCUUCCCUAAAAUUAGGACAUAUAUGGAUCUAGAGUUUGCCCGGAAUUCGCCGAAACAGAAAUAAAUCCAUAUUUCGGCAAAACAUAGGCAACUCAAAAGCACAAUUUGACGUCAACUCAUGCCACAUACACAAUUUCCACAAACAUAUCACACACACAUAAACAUAUUUCCAUUUUGCAAAAGCAUGAAAUUUUCAUCACCUCUAUCUCGAGAUCGAGCACACGGUGGAGAUGAUGUUGUAGGGAGAUCAAAAGUCCACAAAGCUCUUCUUGACAAAGAUAGAUCUAGUUAGGGGGCAAAUAGGUCACUUAACUAAAUCCUACAUCUACCUAGCUACCUAAUUUGGGAGGAGACAACUUCAACUAGUGGAGGGGAAGGAAAAAGAGAAAGGAGAUGCAUUAAUGGAGGUGGUGUAGUUAGGUAGGAGUAAUGAAGAGAGAGAAAGGUAGAUAGAAGAGAGAGAGUAAUGGGGGAGAAGUAUUGAGGAAGAAGAAGAGUGAGAGUGGGAGCAUGUGGGAGGUAGGGGAAAGGGAAGAGAGGAGGGGAGGGGGAGGGACGGGUGGGGAAAAGGUGGUGGGUUGGUGCGGAUUAGCAGUAGCGCGGGAGUUAAAACGCGCUACUGCUAAGGAAGUAGCAGCAGCGCGCUUUGGGCAACGGCGCUACUGCUAACCGGGACCAAAAAGUGUGCCAAUUUGAAAUUUAGCAGCAGCGACCUCAGAAAAAGCGCGCUACUACUACAUGCAUAGCAGUAGCGCGGCUCGCGGCACCGCGCUGCUGCUAAAUGGAGUUUUGUGGACACCCGUUAGUCGAUAUUUGUAGCAGCGCGGUUUACACCGAGCGCGCUACUGCUAAAAACUUGUCAGUAGCGAGUUUCCCGCACACGCGCUACUACUAAUUAGCAGCAGCGCUCCUUUUUGAGCCGCGCUGCUGCUAAGAUUCUGUGUAUAGGCUUUUCCCUAGUAGUGUAUCCUCCCAGAGAUAAGAUUUUUUUAAGAGUGGCAUUAACAACUUGUGCUCUAGUGCCAUGCCUCACCACAGGGAGGACUUGCAUGAAAUCACCCCCAAACACUAUUGUCUUUCCUCCAAAUGGUGAUCUACAACCUGUAGUAUCUUGCAGUGUUCUAUCAAGUGCCUCGACGGCUUGUCGCUUUGUCAUGGCAACUUCAUCCCAAAUUAUCAAAGAUGAUCUUCGAAGUAAUUCUGCUGUUCCACUCUUCUUAGUGAAGUUACACAUAGUGUCUUCUUGAAUAUUUAUUGGUAUUUUAAAUCUGGAAUGGGCAGUCCUGCCACCAGGCAUAAUACAAACCGCAAUGCCUGAUGUUGCUGUUGCGAUGGCUAUUAGUCCCAUGGACCGCACUUUAGCCAGCAAGGCUUUAUAAAGGUAUGUCUUCCCUGUGCCUCCUGGACCAUCAAUGAAGAAGACCUUACCCUUCUUUUGUAUAACAUGGUUCAUUAUGUCAUCAAAAGCAAGGUGUUGUUCAUUGUACAAAGUUUCACACAAUUGUAAGUCUUCUUUAUCAACUAAAAUAUACAUCUCUUCAGUUAAUUCUCUCUACUCUAAGCUUUCCAAAUCACCGGCAUCCAUUAGAUCAGGAAGAUCAAAGCUCUGGAUGUCCUUACCCAUAGAGUAUAGAAAAUCUCCAAUAUCUCUAAGCACCAUCUGCUCAAUUGCUUCAUUACUUAUGCUCUCCCUACGAAAAUCAUCAGACAUGGCUUCAAAGUGCUUGUCCCACAAUGCACGAACAUGUGUUACCUCACAGAAGGCCAAAACUGUAGCAAAAAGCCUCCUAAGUGCAUAAGGCAUUUGAAAUGUUGCAGCUUCCAUGAGACAAUCAGAAAUACUAUUGUCUGCUUCAAUGAGUCCCCUUCUCUCUGCAGCCUCUCUAAAAGUGGAACAAACUACGCCUUCAACAGUACGUAAAUCCUCAAAAGAUGUAGCCCCCGUGACAUGGUUUAGUAAUACCCUCAAGUAAUAUCUCUCGCCCUCUGCAGGGUGAGCAGCCACAAGUCUACCUAUUUGAAUCCUCUGCGUACGACGUCUCCAUGUUUUGUGGUUUCUUUGCCAUACAUAAAAUUCAGGAAAUUCCUUAUAUAAAAAUUUCUGGCAUAACUAUCAAUGGAGUUCAUUUUUAAAUACUCAGUUAGUAUUGUCUUGGAAGAUGAAUUUCUAUUUAUCACAUUCCCCAAAUUAUCAGAAUCUUUAUAGUGCACAAUAUGCAUAUUUGGCAAGUGAACCUGUAACUGUAGAACAAGAGGAGACAUCUCCCUGAGAUUAAAAGAAUAAAUCCUCCAUAUUGCUUCUGGAGGUGAUAUAAACCUGGCAUCUCUAUAUUCACGAAUUUCAUUAAUAAUUUUAUCUUCCACAGCUUCGAGGAUAAAAGAGGCACGAUCAUGGCCUUUGUAUAUGUACUUGAAUAAAUACUUAACAGCCUUAAUGCUGGAGCAAACUUCAAUAUUGAUAUGACAAUUGUAUCUCAUAAGUAAGUACGGAUUGUAUGGCACAACCCAUCUGUUAUCUAAAACAGCUCCCCUAAUGCGCACUUGGCGACCAUCAUCCCUGCGUCUAUAGAUCGGAUAUGAGUCCUCUCCUUGCAACGUAACCUCUGAGAACGGGCGGGGAUAGUGGUAUUUACAAUUUCCGUCUUGCAUGCACGAAUUUUUACUAUUGAGAACACCACAUGGACCAUGCAUCAUGUGUUUAAUAACUAAAUCAUGCAUCACAGGGUACUUAUCCCUAUCAGGAAUUUCAGCGGAUAUAAUAUGGUCAUAUUGGUCAGGGCUGUUUAUUUUGUAAUUUGACUUUAGGAUUAUCAAGAAAUGUGCAUGAGGCAGUCCCCUUUUUUGAAAUUCAAUGGCAUACACGUAAGCAGCAACCUCGCCAAAGAAUUUCUUCUUAAAUAUAAGCUUUUUCAGAUCCUCCAAUUUUGCCCUAAAGACCCGUGCUACCAAGUCUGGUCGGUCUUGUGCUGAUUGGCCUGGAGCGAGUUCUUUUAUUAUCUCUUCCCAACUUGGGUUGCACGUCAUUGUUAAAAAUAAAUCUGGCUUUCCAAACCGCUGGACCAAAGCCAUAGCAUCUAGAUACCUUCGGCGCAUGUCCCUUGGACCUCCAAUGAAAGAGGCAGGGAGCACAAUGCGCUUGCCAAUCAUGCAUGCACGUGUCUCACCAGCAAUAACACUAUCAACCAGCCCUUGAUAUAGAUCUGCUCGUAUGAGAAUUUGAUUUGCUGGUUUUAAGUAGAAUGCCAAUCUUAUCGAUUCAAUCUUUAUGUACAUAUCAACAAUAUAUUGUUGAGUGAGUCGUUUUCCAAAAACUAACACAUUAAAUUCUUUGGCUCGAAUUUGUAGUUUGAAACAAUAAUAUUCCCUUGGUGAAACACAAGAACCAGAGUUGUACUCUUUCCCUAUACAAUGAAAUUUGAUUUAGAUAGAAAUAUAUAAAACAAUUAAAAAUGACAACACCAUCAAAAUAUGAUAAAACUAACCUUCUUCCUCGAGGUCAUUUACUCGAUGUCUACUAACACAAAUAUUAGAAUUUGUUCCCACUUUCGGUAUAUUCAAGUUCCAUCCAACUUCCCCGCUGGGAAAGAAAAGUGGGUACGAUAGUGGAUCAUAACAGCCUUGGUAUGCUUUUAUGUAUUGUGGCUUAUCUGAUUUACCGUAUACAAUUAUACUCCUGUCAAAGUGACCUUGAGGAUUAUUUCCCUCUACCCAAAUUGCUGCUACUUGGGACGCAGUAGGCGUAUUAUAUACUCGUUGAUCUAAACAAAUGUCUGUGUUCAGCUCAAUCUGAUGUUCAGCUCUACCCAGAUUGCUGCUACUUGGGACGCAGUAGGCCUUCGAAAUAUCUGGGCAUCAGGAUUAUGUGAAAGUAUGUGCGUCAAUUUCCGGAUAAGAACUUUAUCAAGAUUAGGAGAGUAUCGGAAUCUAUGUUGCAAAUCAAAAUCUGUGUCAUAAAAAUACAAUUGUAGAUGUUUGGGCCCAUCCCUGUUGGAACCAAUUGGUCAAUCCUGUGGUAAAUCUGACCUUGUGCACGGAAAGUGUAAACUCCAAACCUUUUAUUGCAAUAUCGUUGAUCCAGCAUAACCCCAAGAGAGGUAAAAGAAAAGUGUGAAUUGAAGUACCUUAUGUUAUCUUGGAAAUACCUUGCUUCUGGAUCUUGACUUGUGUACAAUCGAUGCAUUUCUUCAGGAACAAGUGGAGUCACUAACUUGAACUUGCCACCCAUGCAACAAAAAGUUGGUUUCUCAUACUGAAACCUUUUUGCGGUGCAAUAUCUGCAAUUGGGUACUGCCUCCAAAACAUGAUGACCACUUGGCAAAUUUUUAUAUAUGUGAUCAUACGGAUCAACUUGUAUUUCACAAAUAGCAUGGUCUGGUUCUUGAUAUGAUUCAUAUUCAGAACCUGUCCAUUGUUAUUUGGAAGGGAGAAAAUAGUAUAAUAGUUAUCUUGAUACCAAUAUCUGUUUUUUUUCUCCAGUUGACAAGAUAUAUACUAAAAUACUUACAUCCUUCACCGAAUAAACAGCUAUCACAAUCUUCAUCAUCGCCUUCAAGCAUAUAUUGGGUUUGCCCAUAUUCACCUAUUAUAUCAUCUCCAGUUUCCCCAAUUUUAUCUGUUGAGUAUUAAAUCAAUUUAGCAAAUUAUUUAACAUAAUUAAUACUUAUGAGGAAAGUAAAUUAGAAAAUCAUUGUCAUCUGGUGCUGAAAUUACCUUGGAUAGCAGGGAAAAAAUCAGUUGGCAUGUAGAUUGUGUCUUCAGAUUCAUGAUCAUUAUGAUGUUGAAUUUCCAUAGGCAUAUGUUGAUGAACCAAGUUGUCACUUUGUCCAGUUACAUUCUGUGUAUUACAACUCGCUUUGUCAGUUGUAUCAGGUGCAUUACUACAACCCGCUCCAUGAGAAUUUCUUCUUUUCUUAUAGUCACGAUUCCUUUGUAAGUAUGCUUCUUUUUGUUCAGGUGCCAAGUUUGAGUACCACUUAGUGCCACGUUGUCGCUUACGUCGACUAUUGUUUGUCAAUGCAUUAUAUGCACCAUGAUCUUCAAGAGAAAUAGAAGAUACAUAUACUUCCGAUGGACUGACCGUCAGUCCAGUUCCAUGAUCUAGGUGGCACAUAUUUGACUGAAGAAUAAGGUGUUGGUCCAAUUCAGAUAUGUCUUUACCAGACUUAGAUAUCCCAAAACUACCAAAUGUGGCCACUGCUUUUGACAUGAUAAACACACACACACACACACACACACACACAAAAUUAGAUUAUAUUAUUAUUAGCAAUACAUCUAAAAAUAUAUUCUGAUGGUAAAUACAGCUUUUUAUCAAACCUUGCUUCAUUUUUGAUGAGCAACCAUGCUGAUCGACCGCUGAAAUGUCCAUGCAGCAACCUGGAAAAAAAAAGAUAUUAAUUCCUUCACCAAGCACACGUAAUGGUAACUAAAAUUAUAUUUAUCAUAAACCACAAUAAAGUACCUUCUGCCACCUGAGAAGAGUUCAUAAGCUUGUGUAUGUGGUCACUGGAACUCAUAUUUCUCUGCCCAGUUAUGGACUGCGCACUGCUACUAAUUGCAUAGUUUUCUCUCUUAGCCCGUUUGUACUCGUGAUUCCUCUGUAAAUAGGUUUCUCUUUGGACUGGUGUCAUUUACAAGUAUCUAUUCCGAUCACGAAAACGCUUACGGUGUACAGGAUUUAUUGAUAAAUUUCUUUGUUCGACAGAAUAAUUAUUCAGCACUGAAAAAUUAGCAAACAAAAGAUAAGUCAAUUACAAAGUAAAUAUAAAUCUUAAUCAAUCUAGGAACAUGAUUUGAGUCCAAAUAUAUAGAACCUUGUUUCGCUUCUGAUGGUGGUGUUGAAUUAACCACUGGGGCAUUAGUAAUAUUUUUUAAAGGAGUUCGUUCUUCCAACUGAGUGCAUCGUUCUCCGUAGUUAUCUGCAUUCAUAUGAUGAGCAGUUGAGCAUACAUAAUUGCUUGUAUCCUUCAUAUGAUUAACCCUGUUUCUAAUCUCUUCUUUUAUACAUCUGAGGAGACCACAAAGGUAUCUAUAGUAUGUGCUUAGAACAGGAAACCACAUGAUUGCAGAUUUUGUACCUAUAUGUUAGGGGAAGACUUAUGGGCUGGUAUUUCCAACAGAGUGCCGAAACAGAGUCAUGCUGGCCGGCGAGGUUGAUCGUUAAAAGUUUCCAACUCAAAACUGCAGAUUUAGUUUAAACAACAUAAUAGGUUGUUAUAUAAACUAAAACUAAGAGCAUGAAUUUCGCAAAUUUAAUGCUUUGACUGACAAUAUUACUCUUAUGUAGAUAUACAAAGUUAUGAGACGAUAUGUACUGACUGAACUGAAAGUUUAGUUCAGUUUAGCUCUGAUCAAAUUACAGAGCUGCAGUUUUUUAGUCUCUAAUCUCAUAAAAAUAAAGAGAACAUCAUAUGUAAGUUUCUCAAAUGAGUAUAACUUCUGAACAAAUCAAAACAUAAUAUUAGGAACCAAGAACCAACUAACAAGAAUACAAAAGUAUGAAUAUGACCAUUCCACUUAUACAUCAGAUUCUGGUAUGCAGAUUCAUGACCGUACAUUAAUCCUUUGCCUUCCGGUGGCCUCUAUCUCUUCAUCACAGUUUGGGCAAAUACACAAACACCUAUGUGCACAAAAAUGCAUACCCUCCACAAGGGACAGAAAAUGUCAUCAUUUCGUUUUGAUUUGUAACAUGGAGAGAAUAGAUAGUUAUUUGCAAGAAGCAUCAACUUACAUGAUAAUCUCGUAUGAGAAAAAGAUCAAGAAAAUCGGAACCAGCGUGAAAAGAAAAAUAGCUGUGCAACGGACUCACCUGUACGUUAGGGCACUUCCGCUCCUCCCAGCCUAGAUCCCACGAGUUGCAAGCACUCAGAAGAAGAAGAUGGAAACCAAAUCGGUGUAGACAGCAGGUGGACGCAGCGGUGGGAUGUGGAGGGGAUGGAGAAACUGCUGUUUGGCGGCGUUGGGGUGUGGGCUGCGGAGUGGAAGGAGAAGCUGUUGUUUGGCGCGCUGGCUCGUGUUGGCUCCCAGACCGGUUUCGCGCGCGGGUGAUUUUGAUUUUCCAGAGAGUCACGUGAGGAGCCAUCGCGAAGGUGCUGGCAAAUUCCACACAGGUGGGAACUGGGAAGAGGUGGGCGAAUCCAGCAAAGAUGGACCGUCAGAUCUGGUAAUGUUAGCGUGCGAUGGAGGGUGGAUGUUAAUACAGAGGAAGAAAUCAACGGUUGAAAUUGAUUUCAUCUCUCUCUCUCUCUAGCGGGAAAGACUGGAGCCGAGGUGGUAAAUCCAAAAUUUGAACUGGUACACUAUAGGAGUAUAUAUAUAUAUAUAGAAGGGAGUGCCUAGAACUCAUCGAUGAUAUUUAAAAUGGUCUUAUUCAGGUGACGUGUAGAUGACAUCACUGUUUGUUGUUCCAGGUCGUUUUUGUUUCAGGCUGGACCAUAGUUUGUUUGUUCAAUGGGCCAAUGUUGGCGGGCUGAUCAUCGUGCCUUCGUGUGGGCUAUUUUAGUUUGUUUGUCUGUGCGGUUGUCUGUGGGUUGUGACUUGUGAGCCUUUUUAGUUUUUUUCUUGGGCCCGUGUACAACGACAAAAGUUCUUUAUUGUUUGACGUUGACGAGGGUGCCUAGAAACAUGGAGCAGCUAAGCCCGUACUCUGGUUUUGUGAUCAUUUUCCCAUUGUUGUUUUUAGUUUUUUUGUGCCAGAUAUUAUUAACUUUUUCAAACAAAUCUUCUAAAAAGGAAAUGUUACACAGCUAGAAAAGGAAAAACAUACUGUGAAAAAUACGGAAAUAUGUAAGUACAUAAAAAAGUUUAUUGCAUAAUAUAUUCACCGUGUAUUUUUUAGAAAAUGUCAGGUAUCAAAAAAGUGCACCGAGUAUUUGGAAAGAGUUUGACACCAUGUAUUCACCAUGUACUUGGAAAAAGUUGCAUUUUGCAGGUUGGGGCGACUACAACUACAACAAAAAUAUAUAAAAAAGAGAAAAACUUUGUUGCCGCCGACAACCCCCCGACCCCUGAUUGUGGUCAUAUUAUAUGUCUUACAGUUGCGGUUGGGUGGGGUGGUUGCAACUAAUACAACAAAAAAUUAAAUGAGAAGACUUCGCUGGCGCUGACAAACCUCCUCCCGACCCCCAGUUGCGGCCACAUUAUACGUCUUGCAGGUGCACUUGGUUAUGUUGAGUUGCGGUUUGCGGUCGAAUUGUGGCGAUUGCAACCACAAAACAAAGAAGGCCUAAAAAAACUGAACCGAUUUCAUUUGCGCCCCGACCCUUGGUCAUGGUCAUAAUAAAUGUCGCGCUGUUAAGUUUGGGUGUGUUAAGUUUGCGAUUGCGCUCGGGAUCGGCGCCCCGACCCCGGUUGCGGUCAUGUUAUAUGGCUUGCAAUUGCGCUUGGGUGUGCUGACUUGCGAUUGCGCUUGGGUUGAGGCGGUUGCAACUACAAACCUCCGCCCCGACCCCCAGUUGCGGUCACGUUAUAUGUCUUGCAAUUGCGCUUGGGUGUGGUGUGUUGCGACUGCGCUCGGGUCAGGGCGGUUGCAACUACAACAAAAAAACUAACAAUAAAUAAAAAAUGGAACCGAUUUCAUUGGCGCCGACAACCCUCCGCCCCNNNNNNNNNNNNNNNNNNNNNNNNNNNNNNNNNNNNNNNNNNNNNNNNNNNNNNNNNNNNNNNNNNNNNNNNNNNNNNNNNNNNNNNNNNNNNNNNNNNNNNNNNNNNNNNNNNNNNNNNNNNNNNNNNNNNNNNNNNNNNNNNNNNNNNNNNNNNNNNNNNNNNNNNNNNNNNNNNNNNNNNNNNNNNNNNNNNNNNNNNNNNNNNNNNNNNNNNNNNNNNNNNNNNNNNNNNNNNNNNNNNNNNNNNNNNNNNNNNNNNNNNNNNNNNNNNNNNNNNNNNNNNNNNNNNNNNNNNNNNNNNNNNNNNNNNNNNNNNNNNNNNNNNNNNNNNNNNNNNNNNNNNNNNNNNNNNNNNNNNNNNNNNNNNNNNNNNNNNNNNNNNNNNNNNNNNNNNNNNNNNNNNNNNNNNNNNNNNNNNNNNNNNNNNNNNNNNNNNNNNNNNNNNNNNNNNNNNNNNNNNNNNNNNNNNNNNNNNNNNNNNNNNNNNNNNNNNNNNNNNNNNNNNNNNNNNNNNNNNNNNNNNNNNNNNNNNNNNNNNNNNNNNNNNNNNNNNNNNNNNNNNNNNNNNNNNNNNNNNNNNNNNNNNNNNNNNNNNNNNNNNNNNNNNNNNNNNNNNNNNNNNNNNNNNNNNNNNNNNNNNNNNNNNNNNNNNNNNNNNNNNNNNNNNNNNNNNNNNNNNNNNNNNNNNNNNNNNNNNNNNNNNNNNNNNNNNNNNNNNNNNNNNNNNNNNNNNNNNNNNNNNNNNNNNNNNNNNNNNNNNNNNNNNNNNNNNNNNNNNNNNNNNNNNNNNNNNNNNNNNNNNNNNNNNNNNNNNNNNNNNNNNNNNNNNNNNNNNNNNNNNNNNNNNNNNNNNNNNNNNNNNNNNNNNNNNNNNNNNNNNNNNNNNNNNNNNNNNNNNNNNNNNNNNNNNNNNNNNNNNNNNNNNNNNNNNNNNNNNNNNNNNNNNNNNNNNNNNNNNNNNNNNNNNNNNNNNNNNNNNNNNNNNNNNNNNNNNNNNNNNNNNNNNNNNNNNNNNNNNNNNNNNNNNNNNNNNNNNNNNNNNNNNNNNNNNNNNNNNNNNNNNNNNNNNNNNNNNNNNNNNNNNNNNNNAUCGGCGCCGACAACCCUCGGCCCCGACCCUCCGGUUGCAGUCACGUUAUAUGUCUUGCAAUUGCGCUUGGGCGUGCUGAGUUGCGAUUGCGCUCGGGUUGGGCGGUUGCAACUUCAAACAAAAAAAACUCCUAAACAAAAAUAAAAAAUGGAACAACCCGGAAAAAGAAAAGAAAAAUAGAAAAAUGGAACAAGAUUUCCACCUGUAGAGACAAAGAAAAACCCGCCGCGCUCUAUGUAUUGCAGCCGCCAACGAUAAGAAGAAGAAAAAGGAGUCUUGUCGUAUAUUGUAGUAGUAUAUAGGUACCUUCUCUCUUAACCGAUCCAUCCACAUGCACAUCCACAUCAGGGUCCGACGGAAGUGCGAGGAGGCUGCAGCCCAUACAACAAAAAACAACAGAUGGGCUGCCAGCGGGACAACACAUGGGCCGCGCCACCCCGUCGGGCGAAGUCUCCACCUGGACACACAAAUCGUGGAGCGUUUCGAUCUGACGGCCACAAAAACGAAUGAACCAAAGAAAAAAACAUUCGAAUGAGUUUUAGCAAAUCCGUAUAUAGAAAUUCUACUAGGACAGAUGCCUGUGCGUUGCAACAGGACAGAAAAUUGUCAACUCGCUAAAAUUUAGUAAGCAUUGUAUAGAACUUCAUCCAUCAAAACUUCAUGACAAGUAAGAAGAAAACCACUCAGGUUGUUUGCUCAUCGCACUUCACAAACACAGUACAUGCCACACGCAAUAAAUCAGUAUAUGACUGAUUUGUGCACCAUAUACCAGUCAUACAUAAUCAUAGUUCCUAUGAAAAUUGGUACAUAUGCGAAAACCCUCUAUAUCUACAUCAUUAUUCUAUCUAUGUAAAAUAAAUACAACAAUGAUCACCAUGUACAAUAUGGCCAUACAACAAUCUGCACCUCUUUCUUCUACCAUAUUCUAUCUAUCUCGGUCAACUAUACAAAAAAAAUACAUACAACAAAAUCUGUAAGCAAGGUCAGUUUUAUCUACACAACAAUCUGUACGCAAGGUCAUAUUUAUCUAUCUUCUAUUCCUGCAAGUAUGCAGUUAUGCACAUACUUUUCUUCAUACAGUAGCAGAAGGUUGCAUUAUAUUCAUACAACAAUGGCAACACAGAGCAACCUCCUCUUUACCGUUUGAUUUUGCAUCAGCUUCCACGACAUGUUUAGCAGCUUCUGCUUAGUGUAAUCUCAAAAUUAUUUGGAGAAAACUACAGCUUCAUGGGAAAGCGAAAUAAUAGAUUUACGAAGAGGGAUAUUCCUUUUAUUGAGCAACAAAAAAAGUUAUCCUAAAACAGAAUAAAAUGCCAACAAAUUUACUUGCUGGCACGUUGGCAACGGUAUGAUCCCACAGAAUAGAUAUUGUUCAAGUAAGGUCAUUGCUGGCAGGUUUGAUCCACAAAAUAACUGACAUCAGAUCCUCACUUGUGAGUAAAUUAAGAAGUUUGUCAUUACCACAGAGAAACUAAGUUGUCAACAUCAAAGAGUUUCCUUUUCACUUUCCUAACCAACCAUCCAAACAAUCAACAGUAAAUCUAUAAAUUUGAUUGAACUAACCAAACACUGAUAGGUCAAGUAGUUGAAACGAUAAUAUCUUUAUGUCAUAGAUAUCCAACAUAUAUGCUUCUAUCCUUGAUGCCUAAUGUCAUGAACCAUGAUGGAUGUCCAAUUUGACGGUGCCACAGAUUAGAAAGAAAAUCUUGCUACAAUGAAUAUUGUAAUCUUACACCAUGUAGAAUUACUUUAUGCAAAACCUCCUCUCAUAACUUGCUAAUUUUAAAUGAAUAAUCUCAUCUUUGUAUUAGUUUGUUGGAAUUUUGAAGCUUGGGGCUAAUUUCUAAGAUCUUGAAAUUGUCUCAAAUGACAUGGUGCGCACGUGAAAAAGCAACAUAUAUUCGCUAAUUCAGUUUAACAAAAACUGUAAGCUAUGCCAAUCAUGCUAAACAGCAGCAUGUUUUGAUGCGAUUAGACACUGAGCUCUGGCCUCUAGAAAAAAACCGAGUUGCCCCAAACAUAUACCACACAGGCAACCUCAUUAAGUGAUAUGCCACAUAAUUAAUAAGAAAAUUUAUAUGAACAACCUAAGCCAACAUGCCGUAACUAAAUUUAAGUAUGAGACAGAAUUAAUGCUGCUGUCACGGGCCUAUAUUUGGUGGUUGAUUGGCUGGAAAUUCAUGAUUUUAUUUCUUCCUAGCCAAUGGUUUUUUUACUGCACAAAAUGCAUCCCAUAUGAAAAUGAAUUCCGAAUCCAGAUGGAGCGCCAGUUGACAGCAACUUGCAUCUGCUCUUUUGUGCCUCUUUGUUGGCUACAACAUUACAAAAUAUCCGUGUGUGUAUCCUACUACAGUAUAUAUGAAUAGAAACAACUCAACUUGUCAUGUGUUGAGAAUAAAUAAGGAUGCAAUAUCUAACAAGUAGGUGAAAUAGCUUGCCGCGCAUUGCCUGCCUUCUACGAGGCAAGAAUAGCAAGAGAAAUAGUUUCAAAACUCCAAAACAACAACUGCCGUAUGCCUUUUCAAAACACCAUCGAAUAAUGUGCAUGAAAAAAGAAGUUCAAAAGACCAGGAGAUACUCAACUGGACCCAACAAAAGCUAAUUACCUAUACAGUAUACGUGGAUCAGUUCUAAUGGCUAUAUAGUAGCGGAGGUAAUUAAGCAGCAAGAUAGUUAUUACUAUACCUGGAAUUAAGGUUGAAUGAGGUCCACUUCAGGCCGCAUCAGUUGUUCUGUAUCCGCUGUUGACGCCGUUGAGACGGUGUUGAUUCCUUCAGUGAUGGCACGCUGAUAUAAAUCCCCUAUUUUCCGAGAAAGAAGAUUGUAGACACUAACUGAUGAUCGUACCUUGCAGUGAGAGAAGUACUUGUUCAUCUCCUCGCACUCGCAGCACGAAGCUUCUCAAUAUUCUCAGGUUUUUUCAAGCACUACAUGAGGUUGUGAGCUACCAAAAAAAUACUAUGAAACAUCAACAACGCUAGUAACUGUCAACACUUAUCAAUCAACAAUAUCCACUUUAAAUGCAGGCAAAGCAUCCCAAUUCAGUAAAAAAAAUCUUUAACUGAGGAACUCAGCCGGUCGUGCUAAAAGAGGAACCUGCUCGCAAUAUUCAUCAGUAAUUGCUGCUGCAAAGUCAAUCACUUACCUGUUGUCGCAUAGGCAUUCCAACAAACACUGGCUGUGCACCACCCAAACAAUCACGACAGCUAGCUUUACACCAUCGGAGUGGCAUGAUGCACGGAAUAGGAACAGUCAUAGAUGAGAGCGAUCCGGCAAUGUGUUCCCAUAGCUGAGACAUCCGAGACCACGCUUGUGCGGGGCCUGUGUGUCCGGUGCCAACCAAGGCAAAGCAGUAAUGAAGUGAGGGCCACACUGGUCUAAGUUGUCCCGCCUCCUUCUCUUCUCUCCAUCUCACCUCCUCUCUCUCCCUCGUCUCUUCUUCCCAGGAGGCCAAGCUGCCAGGUGUCGCAAACAGUUUUCAUCGGACAAAAGCAAAGUAGUUGUACAGUACGUAAAAUAUGGCAAAAGGUGCGCGCACACUGAAGUAACUAUCAUCAAGUUUCAGGUUCUGUAAAUUUGCAUCACAACUGUUUAUUCAUGAAUUUUCAAUCUUGGAAAACCGAUUGCCCUAUUCAUCUUGGACUUGGACAAAGAUUGUUAGACAAAGGUUCCAAAUGUUAUUUAAUUCACUACGACUUCAACACUCUAAAUUUGCUUACACAUGAAAUGAACUUGAAACAAAAUCUAGCAUGAUAGAAACACAAACAAUACAUUAAUGAUCUGGACUGUGAUACUUGAGAUAAAUUAUACGAGUAUUUGAUCAAUAGCAGAUUAUUGAAGGAUGCAAAGUUUUACUUGCCUGUGAGUGGGCAUAGGAGCGCCUGGUGAGGAAGUUGAAUGGCGUCGAGGUAGCAAAUUUUUGCGGCGCCAGGCCGCCACUAUAUUACUUGUGGAAGCCUCGCAGACAGAGGCGGCGCCUGACCCGCUUGAAACAACGGGGUACAACUCCUUUGCUAAAUUAACGACUGCGAGAUAAAGUCAUGUACUGGGAAUUUACAUGAUGGAUUGAUGCUAAGUCAGAACUUGGAAACUGAGCCUCAAUGGUUGGAGAGGAACACUGUCAGGAGAGUUGGACAUGUUUGAUUAGAUCAUUCCUACUAAAUAAACCAUCAUAAAAUAAAAUCAUGUACUGGAAUAUACAUAUUGGAUUUCUAAACUUGAAAACUGAGUUUCAAAGGUUGGAGAUGAACACGAGGACAGCUGGACACAUUUGAUUGGAUCAUACAUACUAAUCAACCACCAUUGAAUAAAAAUCCUGGUUCUGCUCUUCUCCUUUUAUUCCAGAUUAACGCGGGGAUGCUUUGGAGUGGGUAAUCAUCAUAGAUACGGAGAUAAACAAAAAGUGUGCAACUGAUACCAAUUUACAGAAUGUUUCUAAAGUAUCCAAUGACAAAUAACUGCAGGGACCUGCAAAAUAGAAAAUCAAGUUAAUAAAAGUUAUCUACAUAUAAGUUGUAAUAUUAUUUAAUAAUUGAAGUCUUGAUUUAAUGAGACAAACUACAAUGGCCCUAACACUCUGCUUGAACUACACUAAUUAUGAUUUAUGAAUGAACAGAGAUCAAUUCCAAUUGUGUAACCGUGAAAGACCAUCUCUACUUUUGUAGUGCUCUAGCUCUAGAAAAGCAGUCCAUCAUAGUUGUACUGAUUCUCGUCAGUAACAGCAAAAGCUAAUCCCAACCGAAGAGUAUAAUAUAGUUGUCGGGAACCUGCUAGUACACAUCCCAACUGGAUCGAGCAUUACCCGGGGUAGGCCGGCUGGACGCAGAGGUGGCCGGGGUAGACCUUGGCGCGGUUGCGCCUUGUGCUCGAUGCGCUGGAGGCGCGUCUCCCUCGAGCACAUGAAGAGGAG